GAGGGCUAUGAGGUCUACUUGUUGCUGUAUGUAGAUGACAUGCUUCUAGCAAGUUCAAGUAAGACUGAAAUCACUAAGAUGAAAAACCUUUUAAAAUCAGAAUUUGAUAUGAAAGAUUUGGAGAGUGCUAAGAAGAUUUUGGGGAUGGUUAUAAAGAAAGAUAGGGCUGAAAAUAAACUAGUCAUUUCCCAAGAAGCCUAUCUAAACAAAGUCAUAACCAAAUUUGGUACGACUGGAUCAAAAUCUGUGAACGUUCCCUUAGCAGCUCAUAUGAAUCUUUCUGGUGUACAGUCUUCUAAGACUGAGGAGGAAUUUAGAGAAAUGAGGAACAUACCCUACGCUAAUGCUAUAGGUUCCAUCAUGUUCUCUAUGAUAACAACCAGGCCUGACUUAGCCUAUGCUAUAAGUUUUUUGAGCAGAUUUAUGUCAAACCCAGGAAAGCCUCAUUGGGCAGGUUUGAAAUGGUUGUUAAGGUACAUUGUUGGUACAUUAAAUCUGGGUCUAGUGUAUGAAAAGAGAUCUGAAAAACUUACUCUAAAGGGGUAUGUAGACUCUAAUUUUGCUGGUGACAAGGAUAGCAGAAAGUCUACCACAGCGUACUUUUUUACACUAGGUGACAAUUGUAUAAUAUGGAAGUCACAGCUGCAGCCUUUAGUUACCUUGUCAAGUACUGAGGCAGAGUAUGUUGCCAUAACCGAGGCGGUUAAGGAAUGUACUUGGUUAAAAGGAAUUUUAAAAGAAUUGAACUUCAUGCAUGAUACACCUGUUAUGUUUACUGAUAGUCAAAGUGCUUUAUUGCUUUGUAAGAAUCCUAUUUAUCAUGAAAGAACUAAACAUAUUGAGGUGAAAUAUCAUUUUAUACGUGAGAAACUGUCUCAAGGUGAAGUUAAUCUUGUUAAAAUUCACACUGAUAGGAAUCUCUCUGAUAUGGGAACAAAAAUUCUACCUGCAAGUAAAUUUAGAUUGUGCUUAUCUUUAUUACAUAUUGACACUGGUUAAUUUUCUUGCAGGUGGUGGGCGAUGAUGAUGAACAGUUCUUCCAUGUGCAAAUUCGCAACCAAGAAAGAGUGUUAUGAGAACCAAGAUGAAGAAUGUGAGAAUAUGGUUCUCUUAACCCACUUUAUCCAGUUUUUUGUGAACCAUUGGAUGAAGAUCAAUGAUUGAGAUUUAAUCUUGUGGGAGAAGCUUUGACCAAUUUUUCACCUAACAUAUUACUUACCCCAUGUUUUGUGUAAGAGGGCAGUGUCUUCGGUUGGGUGGUGGUUAUUUCAAAAGAGAAAUGCUGGUCAUUUUCUCUUGGGGUGGCUCAACAGAAACUCUCCUCCAUUUUUUGUUGGUUCCUUAAGGUGGUCUCUUGGUUAGUAUUUUUCAAGGGGUUCUUUGCCGGUUCUUUCUCUCUCUCUUUGGAAGGCGAUUUGCAUAGCAGGGGGAUAUUCCUGAGCCUGUAAAAUCUGCCAUAAGAGGUGAAGAAGCUGCUGCAAGGAAGAAGAAGAAGCUGAACAGAUUUCGGCCAUAUAAGGGGUUGUAUUCUUCCGGUUUUAUAUUUUCUUUUUUUUUUUUUUUUUUGCCUUGAAUCUUGUUUGUUGAUUGAUGUUUUGGUUGAUUGAACUCCUAGGAUCCCCAACAGUUUUGAUUCGCAAUCUUCUGUAGAAUUAAGUUCCCAGACCGGAGCUGUCACUAUAGGCGGGGCGAUGACUGUAGCUGCAGCCACCACCGAGCAUGUCAAGACGGAGGCAAAUGCACCGAUAGAUAUCACAUUAGAGACUUUCCUCCUUACCUUCAUUUUCCCCAACUUCUUGUCUAUUUUUCUCUUCUUUGCUUCCAAUUUCUCUGUCAUCAAAUCUUGCUGCUUAUAAACCGAGGUAAACAGUUCCAAGAACUCUAUGAAGGAAUCCACUGCCGCCUUUAAACUCCUUAGUUCCUCUAAAGUUCUCGGAUAAAUUUUCACACCCCCUUCUCCCAAAAUACUGUAACGUUCUUCCUUAAAUACUCGAAGAGCUACAUUCAUUAUCGACUCGAUAUGACCACCACGCUUAAGACAGACAUCUAGGGCGGUGCAGAAUUUUAAGGAUUGAUGAUGUUUUUGGAAAUAAUCGUCAACAAGAUUCGAUAAUUCGAUACUGUCUUCCUAUUUCCGAGAAAGAUUUUUACCACUUCUGGGUCUAUUUCAAGAGGCAUUCAGUGACUUCCUGGAUAGAGUCGAGGGAGAGGGAGGGAACCAGACGGCCAAGGGCUUGGAGUUGAAAACAUGGAAAUAAAAAGGAAAGAAGAGAAGUCAAAAAUGAAAGAAAAACUAACUGGGAAAAGAAGCUAGUCGUUAUUGUUAGUUAGUUGUAAUUUUAGUUAGUUAAGUUAGUCAUUCUGUUAUUCAGUUUAAUUUCAGUUUGCAUUGUUAGUUUAGUAUGUUGUUUCAGCCGUUCAAUUCCUAGUAUAAAUAUGGCUUGUAUCUGAUCAAUGAAAAUAAUCAAUAAAAUAUGAAUUUCUUCUUCUAGUUACUUUCUCUCUCUUUUUCUUGGUUGAUUCUCUCCGGUUAAUCUUGCAAUUUAACAUUAAUGGCCCUCCUAAAUUCCCGGAAGUCUCCUCUGUGUUGGAGCUGGACGUCGUUUGAGUUUCUGGCUACCUCCGGUACUGGUAGCUCCGGCGGCUGCAUGAGGUCGCUUCAGCUGUAUUGCUCAGUUCUAAUGAUCAUGUGAUUGCCGUUUAUUAACAAAUUCUUGAAUUUUACUUUUUCUGAAUAGGGAAGGAAUGCUAUGAUUUUUCAAUUCACAGACAAUCAAAUGAAUGUGAUAUUAUAUGGUCUUCUGGGUUCGUGGGGAUAAGGAUCUUUUUAAUCAUUAAGUUUAUUUACGUGUUCAAGAAUGGUGUCUUUUUUUUCUUGGCAAAUCUUUCGUGGAAAUUGUUCUUCUUUCAGUCUUCAGUUGAUUUCGACUAUCUGAUCGUUGGCUUGUCUAAUCUAAAAGUCAUCCAAAGGCUGUCGCAGCAAUUUUUAGGGAAUUUACGAAGUGGUUCUGGAGACGAGAAAUGCCGGCGGAUUAGUAGAAACGAGUUCAAGACGUAGUAUUGGAUAUAAUUUGAUAAUGCAAGAAGCAGCACCACUGCAGUCAAGUAAUUAUCUAGGAAUCAGAUGGAGCUCUCCUCGAAAAAUUAAGGUAAUUACAGUUGUUGGCAGUGGUCAAUUUGAUUAUUUUCUCCAAUGAACACUUGGAAGGGCCACUUACGCCAACUAAAAUUCCUUACCUAAUUAUAGGUUUCUGGAUUGGUGGGGACAAGGAUCUUUCUCAAUCAUUACUUUCCAGGUUGGCGUCCUAUGUUGUGUCAAAUCUUCCUGUGGAAAUUGUUUUUCUUCACUCUUGACGUGACGUUUUCGAACAUCUGUGUCGGCGGCUGUUAUAAAUAUUGUGAGCCUUAAACGGGCCAUAUGGAUGGAUGAAGUGUGGAUUAAGUUUGAACUCAAAAAUUGGGAAUAUAUGUUUGAGAAAAAGUCUUAUAUACCUUAUUAAUAUAUAAUAAUUCAUUUUAUACUAUCAAAUCCAAAUAAUAAUCCAAAAUACUUCAAAACCCGAUUAGAAUAACUAAAGUACUGCAUAAUAAACUUUCCUUUUUGUAUAUAUAAAUGAAAAUUUUCGGAAGACAAGGAAAACAUGUGGAAUUAAAUUCAAAACCAUAACAUAUGUAUAUUCAAUUUCAAAAUUAAAUUUCUUACUACAAUAACAUUGAUAAAUGAAUUGAGAAUAUCCACCACCGGUGGCUAUUAAAACAUUCGUAGGACAAAAUACUUCUUCGAGCUAGUGCAUCGUUUAUAAAAAAAACCUUCUUCAAGGACAGACACUAGGAUACAUGUUCGACCCUCUUGCAAAAAACCAUGUUUUUUCUCUUUUGAGGAUGUAAUUUGGACAAGUUGUUUCUGGAACACUUUGACAAGUUAGGACAUUCUUUGGAUACAUUAUGAGCAUGCAGUAGAUAUGCUUAAGAAUGCUUUGGAAUCAAAACAUAAUGAUUUCAUUGGAAUCACUAUCCACGACCAUGGAGAAUCGAGUGUUGGAGUUGAAUCGUGUCUUUGAAAUAUUUUACAAAAUGAUUACAGGUAAUAUGCUCAGUUCAAAUUUUUAACAAAGAUUUAUGCAACUUUGGAUAUUCCAUAUUAUCUCUGUUUUUUUGUUCUAUUUCUUUAGGUCAUUUUUUGGAUAUAAAUGUGAUCUUUAACCAGUAGCAAUGGAAUGAUCAGGGGUUGUAUACUACCUUGCUGUAAUUUAACAAAUACAUACACUUGUAUCGCCCUUUGAAAUAAACUAUUGUAUACAUAUCACAUCUGAUUCACGAUGUGUCUAAAGCACUGGAAUAUUGACCGGUCACAUCUCGUUACAUAUGUUAAUGAGAUAUGUUCAUUUAUUUUUUAUAAAAAUAUAGUUAUAUUGUUUGAUUUUUACACUUUCCACUCUGAAAGUUCUAAUUAGUCUAUUUAUUUAGACCCAACUCCGAAAAUAAGCAAUUAACAAGCAACAAGUCACUUUUAAUUGUUUCUAAGUGAUAAAUCAAUCAAUUUCAAUUAUCCCUAUGGUUUGAAUGCUACAAUCAAUAAUUAAAGCAGUAAAAAUAUCAAAGAUGAUUACGGAGAAACCCCAACUAGAUAAAAACUUCGAGCAUUUUGUCUAUCAGUAAUCCACUAUAAAUCAAAGCAAACUUAUAGUACGAAUCAGACCCAUCUACCCCACAGAACUUUUGACUUCAAUUCUCGUAGUCUCCCUUGAUCUUACUAGAGGUGUGCUCCUUCACAACAAAUUUCUACUCCUGAUUUUUACCUUAGCCCUCGUGAACUGUGUUUUUGCAACAACUUUCGACCCUGAGUAUCGAUUUAUCUUCGAUGAAGAAUUCUUCGUUCCUCAAUGCCUCUUCCAAGAUUCCAGUAAUUGUAAAAGCUAAUUGGCAAAGGUAGGCUUGGUGUUUGAUCAAUGAUCUUGUGUGUUUUAAUCUAUGGUUUACCAUAAAUGUUUAUAGCUCGAUUACCAAAUCUAAAUUUGAAUGAAUCUAAGGAUCAAAUAAUCUUUAAAUCAAUGAAAGUGAUUUGGAUCUUCAAAGGAAUGUUCUAUAUCGAAUAAUUAUGAUUUAACACACUCUGGGACGUUCAUAGAGAAUGAUAUAUACACGGGAAAGUGUUUGAGAUGAAAAGGAAAUGAAAAAUCAAUAUUUGAAAUAAAACAAUUUUUUGGAAAUCGACACCUCGCUCAAGUGAUAGGCUAGCAGUAGACAAGCGAUAGCUGAGUAGUCAUCGGUAUUUUCAUCACAACUUUCUCUCCCGACGUUAGGUUGAGGUGAUUCAAAUUGCAUUGACAACUAACUCAAAGGGGUAAAAUUCCUCUUGAAAUAUCAUUCUCUAAAAUGUUUUCUUUGUGAAAAAUGCUUUGCAUGAAUGAAGGGAUAACAUCAAGAAAAUAUAUAUAUUUACAUAAAUGUGUGUGUACAGACAUUGAAAUCAAAUUUCAGAUGUGAUUAAAUCAAAGAGUAAUUUAAUUUAAAUAAUAAAUCUAUUAGCAACCAUAAAAUAAAAAAUCUUAAUACCUUAUCAUCCAUGGUAAGACUCGAAUUUAGGAAUAUAGAGAAGAGGAUACGUGAUUUGAGGUGGCCAACUUCAAGAACAAAUUGGAUGAUAUUAAUUUCUAAUGGCAUUUAAUGGGUGUGUAACUUCUUCUAAUUACGCAAUAAUAUCCUAAUUGGCCUAUUAACUUAUUUAGUCCUUAAAUCAAUUUAAUUAAUUUAAUAAAUUUCCAUUAUUAACUAUCUUGUCAUUAUUAAAUUAAUUUACACCAAGUUCAUUAAAAACGGAUACCUUCCAACUUGAUGUCGAGGUUCAAUACAAAAUCGAAUCAAGUACAUUAUAUAGUUUAAUAUGAAUUAAAUAAAAUAUAGACAUUAUAAUUGAAUUAAUAGGCACGUGAUUCAUCUACGAAGUCUCAUGCGCAUUUCACUUCAACCAAUAUCAUUAGUCACGAUUACAAUAAUUAAAAGAAUACAAUAGUAAAUAUAACAUAAAUGGAACUAAUCAAGAUAGGCAUAAUAAUCACAAGGAAUAAGAAUGUGGAGUUACACUAAAUAUAUCCAAGAACUUUGCAAACUAUUAUUCGAGCUUCUUCUUUUACAAUCUUUGAGAAAUGGAAUAUGAGACACGUGUUUUGAUGGGAACGAUUCUCUUAACUUGUGGACUAUCUGAAUUAUGCUUUGAGAUUAUUUUUACAAAUUGUUCGAUUAAUCCACUUGCUCCUCACCUGUGAAAUGUACCAUUUCAUUUGACAUUAUCUGUCUCUCAACUAUAAUUUCUUGAAAUUUGAGCCCUACUCUGCAUAGUAAUCACCUGAACGAUUUCACCCUUAGGCCUUUUUCGAAGCCUUUGAAAGAAGGGAAAAUGAGGUAUGUCUGUUCGAAUUGGAGUUUAAGCUUUCAAACAUAGAUCUUCUUUUAUUUCAUUCUCUAAGACACUUAUGAUCAUUAGUUUGAGAUUUGUCUUAAUAUCACUUGACAAGAUACCUGGUGGUCUUUCUGAAAGUGUCCUGACUAUUUGUGCAUCUAAUUUUUCAAUUUUUUUUUUAUAGCAAAUCGUUGAAUCUACAAGUUCUUCUCGAUCUUUUGCAGGAAUUAAGCUCAUUCUUCUGCCAUUUUACCGAAGUCUUUUACAAAUGCAAUCCCACUUGUAAAAUUUCAAUUAUUAAGAGAAGCUUUGUGAGUUCACAAACAACACAUUAAGGAGGAGAAUAUAGAGAUUAAUUUAUUUGUUUAUACAAGCAAAGUGUACUACAUUAAUUCGCACUAAUUAAUAUCUAAAACAAUUACUCACUUUUAUGGUUAAUGUCUAUUUUUCUUCUACUAAGCAUACACACCUGCCCUACAUUAAUGGGUGGCGCAAUGCCUCUAUGUUAUCUGUGUUUGACAUCAAGAAAAUGACAUUAUUUUUCUUGAAAUGCCUUCACAACUUUUCUUCCAAUGUCGAGUUUGUUGGGGUCCUCAGUUAUAUUGUUGUUUGUAUAUGGUUGAGAGUUACAAACCAAAAAAUGGAGAAUGAAAAAGGGAAAAAUCAUAGCUAAUUAUUGAGAUUGCUGUAGUUACAUUCAAAUCAAUUUUAUUAAUUUUGCAGGUCCAACAUAUGUUUGAAGGAAGCGAUGUUUUUUUUUUUUUUUUUUUUAAGUUGCAACCUUUUAUCCAUAUUCUCCAAUUCUUUUUCCAUUUUGUAAUGUAAAUUUCUAAUUAUUUAAGUGGUGGCGAUAGUUUUUUAUUAAAAAAGUUGCAGCCUUUUACCUAUCUUCUCCAAUUCUUUUUCCUUUUUGUUCAUGUGUGCUACUAAUAAAUGAAGCGGUGGCGAUGGUUCUUGGAAAGGUUACUGCUUGUUUUUUAUAAUUGCUAUUUAAUUUAGAUUACUUUUUUUCAGAUAAAAUUUGUGAUGAUAACAGGUCAUAAUGAAACAACAGAAACAACAGGUUACAUUCAACACAUUAGGGCUCUUGAUUUGAAUUUAGGGAUCAAUCGAGUUGGGAAAGAUGCAUUCUCACAAUGGUAGGGCUCUUCGCGAUUUGGGCAAGAAAAUGGAAUGGAAAUUGAGUUUUGAUUUCGUUAAGUCUUGGGUGGAGGAAUUGUGAAGUCGUGUAUAGUUAAAUGAAUUUUAAUUUUGCUAAUGUGGAAGCUGAGUUAGGACUUGCACGCCACACCACUUCGAAAAAUUUAACUAGCCAGAUCAUCUUACAGUCAUCCACGUAGGCUAUAAACCUCAAAGAAGAUGGGUUCACAUGUGGAUGCUAUAUGAACAUGCAUUUUAACUUUAAAUAGUAACUUAGUUUUGAAAUUAGAUAGGACUUUUAUGUUCCAAAUUUUUCAUGAAACUUGAUUUCUAUAUCCAGACUUAUACCCUUAGGAUAUUCCUAUAAUUUUUCAAACACGUCAUUCAAUUUAUUAUAUAAUUUUUAUUGUCCUGGGAAUGGUUCUUUAUUUGAUAGUCUUUAUCAUAUUAAUUUACAAAACAAUAUCACUUAUAGUCCAAUGCAUGUUCAUACUGGCAUUAAAUGGUGUAAUAUUAGCAAUGAUUCCUCUACGUUGGGGCAUUAAAAAUUAGGACAUAUCUCUUUAGAUAAAAUCAAAACAUUAGUGAAUGAUAGGGUACAUGGUACUCUAGAUUUCACUUAUUUUAACACAUUUGUAGAUUACAUUAAGGGAAAGCAGACCAACAAGUCCAAGAAAAGUGCCAACAUGAGUUCAAACUUAUUAAAAAUCAUACAUACUAAUAUAUAUAGUACAAACAUGGACUUACAUGGUCAGAAAUACUUCAACACCUUUUAUUAAUGAUUACUUACUUACAUCGCCACACAUGGACUCACAUGUGCACCUUAAUUUAUUUGAGAAAAUAUAUAUUUGUAGAACCAAGAAUAAAAUAUAUGGUCUUUUCAUUAAAUAGUGUUAUUAUAUAAAGAAUAAUUCUUGAGAUGCUAAGUACAUUAUAGUACAUGGAAGAUAAUACUCGCUAUUAAAGGACUCAUCGCCAUGAUUCAUUUGUUUAUUUCUUAAGAAGGACAAUCAAUAAAAUUAAGUUGAGACGUUGAAUUGAAUCUAUUAACCAAGUGGGGGAAUGUAACAGAUCCAUUUCACGUUUCAUCUCUUCAACGGUCAAUUGUUCCAACAUUCAUUGAGAUUUCAAUUUCAACAUUUAUAGCAGCCUUAAUUCUACCAUUGAUUGAAAAGAUUGGUAACCUGAGCCAUAACUUGAUGGUGUUUUGGUUAUAAAUAUAAAUGGGUUUUGGUCCUCAAGCUCAAUACCUGAAAAUACAAUAUACAUCAUCAAUUUAGAGUGUAAAGAGCUUGGAAGUGCCAUUACCUAGAACAAAGAAGAACUUUUGGAACAACAUCAGUGACCGGAGGUAUGAAUUUGAUUCGUGAGAUUUUUCGAUUUUUCAAUCCAAUUUGUUUCUGCAUAAUUGUUUGGAUCAAUUUUUAUCUAAUAGAAACUAGCAGCCACAUACCUCUGAUAUUUAAGUUGAUAAAAUUGUUAAAAACGUACAGUGAGAAUAGAAGAAGAAAUUUCCAAAUACGUUCCUCUCUUUUUUUUUUUUUCUCUUGUUCCUUCGUUUUUUUCCUAUUGCUAUCUUUUCUUCUCUAUAUCCACCAGAUUUAUACCAUUGUUUUUGUGCUACAGAUUUAUACCAUUGUUUUUGUGCUAAACUAUAAAAUAAACCUUUGAUGGGGGAACAUACUGAAAUAUUCUCACUUUUGCUACACAAAGAUACUGAAAUAUUUUCACUUUUGAAAUCGAGAAUAUCUUCAAUGAUUUGUUGUUAUUUUCCAGUUAUGCCGUUCUUUUUUACCCAAAGAUCAAGAUUAGAUCUUCAAUUGAUUGAAAUCUUGUAUUUCCCAACUGGAUUUGUCCAAAAUUGUGAUGAAUUCCUCUCUUUCUGUGUAAGAUUUUAUGAAUUCUAUGGUAUAAGAGGUUUUGAUAGGUGAAUGGUAUUGUUAUGUAUUUAUAAGGGUCGAAAUUAGAUCGAAAUUCAAGUUGAAAUCAAUUUCCAAGAGGUAGUCGACUCAAAAUAGAAAACUACCCCAUCAGGUCCAAAUUGAACCAUGCGUAAGCACGGGUGUGGACCUUGCACAUGCAUGGCUUAUACCUUUUUGCUUCAGUCUCUGCAAGAAUGUGCCUUGCAAACGCAUUAGUAAGGGUGGUGCGUAUGCAACACCAUCAUGUUUGGGCUUUUGCAUUUUAGUCCAAGUUUUUAUUCGAUGUUCAGCUUGAGUCCUUUUUUCGUGCAAUUUUCAUCCUUUAACUUUUAAUUUAAUCCAAUUUCAAGUUUGGAGUUUUCUCUGCUGUUCCUUUGCUUUAUUUUUCCUAUUGCUAUUUUUUCUUCUAUAUUUCCAUCGGAUUCAUACUGUUGUUUUUGUGCUAAACUGAAACAAACAACCAAAAUAAAAUAAACCUAUGAUGGGGGAAACGUAUGGAAAUUUUCUCAUGAGUAUCUUCAAAUAACAUAUUAGUGAAAUAAAAUAACUUAGUUUCCAAUCCAUGGUAUUUUUCCAUGAUGUUUGAACUAGGAAAUAUCCAAUCCUUCAUGACAUACCAAAGUUUUGAUUUACGAUCUUCUGUAGAAUUAAGUUCCCAGCCCUCGUGGAUUUUCUGUUACAAUUAUUUGCAUGCUUGCUUAAAUCUUGAAUGGUUUUCAAAAAUCCGUUCACCUUCUUUUGAAUCUCCUCCACUGCAAUAACCAUUGAGCCCUCCUCCCUCAUAGCUGAAUCUACACUCUCCAAUAACGCCUCAAUCUCAUUCCGAAACCUGUCAACAUCCAUUUUCUCUAUAACAGUCCCAAUACACAUUAAACAAAUUAUCACCCUUUUCGCUCUUAAAUCAAUCAUGCGCUUCUUAAAAAUCGAGUCAAGCCAUUUCACCAUUGUCCAUGAAGGCACAGUGGCUGCCGCAGCCAGAGCUGUCACUACAGGCGGGGCGAUGACUGCAGCUGCCGCCACCGAGCAUGUCAAGACCGAGGCAAAUGCACAGAUAGAUAUCACAUUAGAGACUUUCCUCCUUAUCUUCAUUUUCCCCAACUUCUUGUCUAAUUGUCUCUUCUUUGCUUCCAAUUUCUCUGUCAUCAAAUCUUGCUGCUUAUUAACCGAGGUAAAGAGUUCCAAGAACUCUAUGAAGGGAUCCACUGCCGCCUUUAAACUCCUUAGUUCCUCUAAAGUUCUCGGAUAAAUUUUCACACCCCCUUCUCCCGAAAUACUGUAAUGUUCUUCCUUAAAUACUCGAAGAGCUACAUUCAUUAUCGACUCGAUAUGACCACCACGCUUAAGACAGACAUCUAGGGCGGUGCAGAAUUUUAAGGUUUGAUGAUGUUUUUGGAAAUAAUAAUCAACAAGAUUCGAUAAUUCGAUACUGUCUUUCUUAUUUUCGAGAAAGAUUUUUACCACUUCUGGGUCUAUUUCAAGAAGGUAUUCAGUGACUUCCUGGAUAGACUUGAGGGAAAGGGAGGGAACCAGACGACCAAGGGCUAUGGAGUUAAUGGCCCUCGUAAAUUCCGGGAAGUCUCCUCUGUGUUGGAGCUGGAGGUCGUUUGAGCUUCUGGCUUCCUCCGGUACUGGUAGCUCCGGCGGCGGCAUGAGGUCGCUGCAGCUGUAUUGCUCAGUUCUGAUGAUCAUGUGAUUGCCGUUUCUUAACCAAUUCUUGAAUUUUACUUUUCUGAAAAGGGAAGGAUUGCUAUAAUUUUUCACUUCACAGACAGUCAAAUGAAUGUGAUAUUUUAUAGUCAUCUGGUUCGUGGGGAUGAGGAUAUUUCUUAAUCAUUACGUUUAUCGACGUGUUCAAGAUUGGUGUCCUUUUUUCGUGGCAAAUCUUUCGUGGAAAUUGUUCUUCUUUUAGUCUUGAGUUUACUUCGAUCAUCUGAUCGUUGGCUAGUCUAGUAUAAAGUCAUCCAAUGGCAGUCGCAGCAAUUUUUAGGAAAUUUAAGACGAGAAAUGCCGGCGGAGUAGUAGAAACGAGUUCAAGAAGCUGCACUGCUGCAAUCAAAGUAAUUAUCUAGGAAUCAGAUGGAGCUCUCCUCGAAAUAUUGAAGUAAUUACAGUUGUUCGCAGUGGUCAAAUUGAUUAUCUUCUCCAAUGAUCUCGCAUGUGAAACACUUGGAAGUGCCACUUACGCCAACUAAAAUUCCUUACCUAAUUAUAGGCUUCUGGGUUGUUGGGGACAAAGAUCUUUCUCAAUCAUUACUUUCCAGGUUGGUGUCCUAUGUUGUGGCAAAUCUUCCUGUGGAAAUUGUUUUUCUUCAGUUUUGACUUGACUUUCGAGUUUCGAGCAUCUGUGUCGGCGGCUGUCAUAAUAUUGUUCAAAAUCGUUAUUUGGUAAGUGGGCCUUAAAUGGGCCAUGUGGAUGGAUGAAAUGUGGAUUAAAUUUGAACUCAAAACUUGGGAAUAGAUUUUUGGGAAGAAAAUCAUAUCUACCUAAUUAAAAUAUAAUAAUUCAUUUUAUAAAAUAAAAUCCAAAUAAUUACCCAAAAUACUUUAAAACCUCAUUAGAAUCGGAAAAGUACGGAAUAAUAAACUUUCCUUUUUGUAUAUAUAACUGGAAAUUUUCGAAGACAGGGAAAACGUGUGGAAUUAAAUUAAAAACCAUAACAUAUGUAUAUUCAAUUUCAAAAUUAAAUUUCUUGCUACAAUAAUAUUAAUAAAUGAAUUGAGAAUAUCCACCAUCGGAGGUUUAGAAACAUUCAUAUGACAAAAUAUUUCUUCAAGCCAGUGCAUCUAUUUAUAAAAUCUUUCUUCGAGGACGGACACUAAGAUAUAUGUUGGACCCUCUUGCAAAAAACCAUGUUUCUAUUUUUGAGGAUGUAGUUCGGACAAGAUGUUUCUAGAACACAUUGACAAGGUAGGACAUUCUUAGGAUACAUUAUGAACGUACAGUAGAUAUGCUUAAGAACACUUAGGAAUCAAAACAUGAUGAUUUCAUUAGACUCACUGUCAUCGACCAUGAAGGAUUGAUUUCAUUGAGGUAAUCAUCAUGUUUGAUGUUCGACGAGUGUUCAAGUUGAAUUGUGUCUCAGAAAUAAUUUGCAAAAUGAUUACAGGUAAUAUGUUCAUAUCAAACUUUUAACCAAGAUUUCUGCAACUUUGGAUACUCCAUAUUAUCUAUGUUUUUUAGUUCUAUUUUCUUUUGGUCAUUUUUUGGAUAUAAAUGUGUUUCUUGACCAGUAGCAAUGGAAUGAUCGGGGGUUGUUUACUACCUUGCUGUAAUUUAACAUAUACACACUUAAAUCGUCGCUUGAAAUAUAACUGAGGUAUACAUAUCACAUCUGACUCACAAUGUUUUUAAAGCAUUGGAACAUUGAUCAGUCGAAUCUUGUUACAUAUGUUAAUGUGAUAUAUUCUUUACUUUUGAUAAAAAUAUAAUUGUUAUAUUGUUUGAUUUUCACUUUCCACUCUGAAAGUUCUAAUUAGUCUAUUUAUUUAUUUAUUUAGACCCAAUUAUAAAAAUAAGCAAUUAACAAGCAACAAGUUAGUUUUAAUUGUUUCUAAAUGAUAAGUCAAUCAAGUUCAAUUAUUCCUAUGGUUUGAAUGCCAUAAUUAAUAAUUAAAUUAGUAAAGAAUAACAAAGAUGAUCACGAAGAAACUCCAACUAAGUAAAAACUUUGAGCAUUUUGUUAGUCAGUAGUCCACUAUAAAUCAAAAUAAAUUUUCAGCACGGACCAGGCCCGUCUAUCCCCACAAAACUUCUAACUUCAAUUCCUAUAGUCUCCCUUAAUCCUACAAGAGGUGUGCUCCUUCAAAACAAAUUCCUACUCCCAGUUUAUACAUUAGCCCUCCUAGACUGUGCUUCUGCAAUAGCUUCCGUUCCCUAUUAUCGAUUUAUCUUCAGGAGAUUAAAUGAAGAAUUCCUCGUUCCUCAGCGCCUCUUUCCAGAACUCUAAUAACUCUAAAGACUAAUUGGCGAAGGUAGGUUUGGUGUUUGAUCAAGAUCAUGUGUGUUUUGAUCUGAAGUUUACUAUGAAUGUGUAUAGCUCGAUCACCAAAUCUAAGUUUGAAUGAAUCUAUGAAUCAAAUAAUAUGGUGGUUGAAUCUUGAAAUCAAUGAAAGUGAUUUGGAUCUUCGAAGGAAUGAUCUCUAUAGAAUAAUUAUGAUUCCACAAGCUUUGGGACCUUCAUAGGGAAUGAUAUAUAUAAGGAAAAGUGUUUGAGAUGAAAAGGAAAUGAAAAUUCAGUGUUUAAAACAAAACAAAAUUUUGAAAUCGACCCCUCGCUCAAGCGGUAGGCUAGCGAUACACAAGCUGCUGCUGAGUAGUCGUCGGUAUUUUCAUCACAACUUUCUCUCCCAACAUCAGAUUGAAGUGAUUCGAAAAUUCCUAACUCAAAUGGCUAAAAUUCCUCUAGAAUUAGCAUUCUCUGAAGUGUUUUCUGUGUGAAAAUGUGUUGCAUGAAUGGAGGGAUAACGUCAAGAAAAUAUGUAGAUUUACAUUUCAAAUGUUAUUAAAUCAAUGUGUAGUUUUUCACAUAACUUAAUUUAAAUAAUAAAACUAUUAGCAACCAUAAACUAAAAAUCUUAAUACCUUGUCAUCAAUGGUAAAACUCAGAUUUAGGUAUAUAGAAAAGAGGAUAAGUGAUUGGGGGUGGCCAGCAUCAAGAACAAAUUGGAUGAUAUUAAUUUCUAAUGACAUUUACUAAUUAAGCAAUAAUAUCCUAAUUAGCCUAUUAACUUAUUUAGUCCUUAAAUCAAUUCAAUUAAUUUAAUAAAUUUCCAUUAUUAACUAUCUUGUCAUUAUUAAAUUAUUUUACACCAAGUUCACUAAAGACAAAUAUCUUCCAACUUGAUGUCUAGGUUCAAUACAAAAUCUAAAGUGCAUUAUUUAAUUUAACAAGAAAUAAAUAAAAUAUAGACAUUAUAAUUGAAUUCUACAACCAAUAUAGUUAUUCACGAUUACAAUAAUUUAAACAACACAAUAGUAAAUAUAACAUUAACGGAACUAAUCAAGAUAGGCAUAAUAAUCACAAGGAAUAAGAACGCAGCAUUACACUAAAUAUAUCCAAGAACUUUGCAAACUAUUAUUUGAGCAUCUUCUUUUACAAUUUGUGAGAAAUGGGAUGGGAGACACGUGUUUCAAUGGGAACAACUGUCUUAACUUGUGACUGUCUCAAUUAUUCUUUGAGAUUAUUUUUACGAAUUGUUUGAUUAAUCCACUUGCUCCUCAUCUGUGAAAUGUACCAUUGCAUUUGACAUCAUCUAUCUCUCAACUAUAAUUUCCUGAAAUUUGAGCCCCACUCUAUAUAGUAAUCACUUGAACUAUUUCACCUUUAGGCCUUUUUCGAAGCCUUUGAAAAAAAGGGGAAUAUGAGGUAUGUCUACUCAAAUUGGAGUUUGAGCUUUCACACAUAGAUCUUCUUUUAUUUCAUUCUCUAAGAUACUUAUGGUCAUUAGUUUGAGAUUUGUCUUAAUGUCACUUGAUAGGAUACCAGGUGGUCUUUCUCAAAGUAUCCUGACUAUUCGUCCCAUCCAAUUUUUCAAAUUUUUUUAUAGCAAAUCCUUGAAUCUACAAGUUCUUCACGAUCUUUUGUAUGAAUUUACCGAAUGUUUUUACAAGCGCAAUCCCACCCAUAAAAUUUCAAAUAUUAAGAAAAGCUUUGGGAGUUCACCAACAAUACAUUAAGGAGGAGAACACAAGGAUUAAUUUGUUCAUUUAUACAAGCAAAGUGUACUACAUUAAUUCACACUAAUGAAUAUCUAAAGCAAUCACUCACUUUUAUGGUUAAUGUCUAUUUUUCUUUUGCUAAGCGUACUCAUCUGCCCUACAUUAAUUGUGGCACAAUGCCUCUAGGUUAUCUGUGUUUGACAUCAAGAAAAUUAUAUAAUUUUUCUUGAAUACCUCCACAACUUUUCUUCCAAUGUCGAGUUUGUUGUGGGCCUACCUGAAAACUCCAUUUCCAUAUGAGUUUUGUGGACCUUAAUUCCACUAUUCACCUAUCAUUUUUUCUUUCCUUAUUGAAGAUUAGAUGACACCAACAAACAUAGGAAAAAUAAAAGUAAUAUUAUUCAUAGCAAUAGUCAUCUUAUAUGACAGUAUAAUAUUUUAGUUGUAGUUAUCUUCUAUGAAAAUAUAAUAUUUGAGGCAUUAAUUUGUUAUUUGAGACAUCAUAAUUAUAUUAAACUAUUGCCUUAAAUAACAAGGUGCCACAUAUGUGACUAUUGCAGUUGUUGACUCUAAAUACGAUUACUAGAAAAAUAAACUCUGGUAUAUUGAGUGAAUAAAUUAUACAUAAUUAAAGAGACUGACAUCCAAAAUAUAUGUAAGUUAUCUUGUCUUCCAAUAGUUCUAUAUAACCAUUUAUCAUGUCAAAUUUUAUUUAAUUGAUUGUAUCACAUAUAAUGGUUCAUUCAAGAAUGUUGAUGAGUUAGGACUAUCAUCGAUCGUAUUGACUGCAAUAGCGAAAUCGUUUAUUAAUAUUUAAUUAAAUUAAAAUUGACUGUUGGGCCUCCAUAAUUCACCAUUAAAUUAUAAUUCAUUUUUCUUUUUCUUCUUAUCAAUCACAUAUUUAUUAAUAAAAUAAUAUUACAUGUAAAUCCAAAAAAAAACUCUUUUUUUUUUAGCUACACAUUCUCCAAAAAAAAUUACUAUUUCUCUCAUUAUAAUAUUGAAUAAUGAGGGUCAAACAGGAGCUAAGAUUAAUACAUUAACAAAGUAGGGCAGGUUCCAUUAAACAAAUAUAACAUAUACAAAGUUUAAUUAUAUAAAUACCCGUGUAUACAUAUAUCAGUAAUAUAAGUAAAUUUAUCGAAAGUUUCAACAUAUAUCACUGAAUUUUCAGAAUUUUGGAUAUAAGAGUUAAAAAGUAAAAGUAUAAUCCAAAAAACCUAUUCUUUUCUUGAUUAUGCAUGGAUCUAGAGCCGAUCCUGCAGCGAGGCCUACGCCUGAAGCCUAAAACUGCAUGAGGCAUCAUUUUUUGCCCUUUUUUUAAACUAGUGAGAGAAUGUGCGUUGCACGUUAGUUGGUGAUGCGAACCCCGUAGAAACAUUGACUACAAAACUCACAACGAGAUUGAAGAACCCAAGAAAGUCAAAUUAAUCCAAGAGUUUAGAAUUAACUCAAAAGAAAGUCGAACCCAAAAACCCAACAAGAACGGCGCUUGAAAGACCCCUUGAUCACGUAAUCCAAGAAUUAAAUCCAGUUGUUUGAACGCCACAAGUUAACACUUGAUAAGUUCGAAGUUGUUCAAUGAAGAACGAUGAAAAGAAGACAAUACGCCUCAUUUUUAAUUCAAUAUCAAAUAUGUCAAAGGUUUUUUACAAUGAAUGAAAACUUAUAUUUAUACUAAACCUAAAAACUAGGUUAAAAUCGUGCAAAAGUCGACCUAGAGUAAUUAGGAAUGGAAAAGACGAAAAAAUACCAAAAAUAAGAAAUUAACCAAAAAAAUGGCUUAUGCGACCGUGACGUUCAUUUCUAUGCGGUCGCAUAGUUCAAGUAAGUUUUCCCCUUUGAAUUUAGGUAAGCCUCCAUGCGACCGCAAGCCUCAUAAGCCUAUGCGGUCGCAUAGGAUUAUCAUUUUCCUCCAUCUUCGACCUUCGAUAUUAAAUUGAUCCAAGUUGAUUCGGCCUUCGACCCGAACAUGAAAAUUGCUCCAUUUUGAAUGCCAAACAUGGUUCCAUCAAUGGUUUCUUGAACGACCAAUCACAUAGCUUGUUUCACUUGCUUUGCCCUUGAUUGCGUCAUUGGUUCGCCAUCGGCUAUCAACGGAUCUCGUCUCGCACUCGCCUUCGUCAGGCUCGACCCUGGAUCAUAUCAUCCCCUCCCUCUUAAAAAGAAUUCGUCCUCGAAUCUGAACCUGCAUCAAACAAAGAGAGAUCGGAUACAUUCAAAGUAGCCAAAACAUUGUACUCACCUGGAAGGUCCAACUUGUAAGCAUUAUCGUUUAUCAUUUCAAUCACUUAAAAUGGACCAUCGCCUCUCGGUUGCAACUUGGAAUUCCUUUGCUCCGAAAACCGCUCCUUCCUAAGGUGCACCCAGACCCAAUCUCCUGGCUCGAAUGUCACGCGCUUCCUACCUUUGUUUGCCUGCGACACAACCAACUUAUUUUUGUUUUCAAUUUGCGCUUUUACCUUUUGAUGGAGUGACUUAACCAAUUCCGCCUUCUUUUUGCCAUCUAAACUACCACGUUCAUUCACAGGUAAAAAAAUUAAAUCCAAAGGAGUUAGUGGAUUAGAACCAUAUACAAUUUCAAAUGGAGAAUAUGACGUAGUAGAGUGAACAGCUCGAUUGUAUGCAAAUUUAACAAAUGGUAGACACUCCUCCCAACUCUUCAAAUUUUUAUUGAUUAUUGUGCAUAACAAUUGUGUCAUAGUCCUAUUCACUACCUCGGUUUGCUCAUCCGUUUGUGGGUGACAAGUUGUGGAAAAUAGUAACUUAGUGCCUAACUUAUCCCACAAAACUCUCCAAAAGUGACUCAAAAAUUUGACAUCCCGAUCCGACACUAUGCUUCUAGGAACCCUAUGUAAACGCACAAUCUCUUUAAAGAAUAAGUCAACAAUGUUCAUGGCAUCGUCAGUUUAGUGACAUGGUAUAAAAUGUGUCAUUUUGCUAAACCUAUCUAGAACCACAAAAAUAGAAUCCCGACCUCUCUUAAUCCCAGGUAAACCCAAAACAAAGUCCAUCGAGAUAUCAACCCAAGGCUCACUAGGUAUAGGUAAAGGUGUGUACAAAACUUGUGGUAAAACCUUAGAUUUAGCCUUUUUACAACCUAUGCAUUGACUACAAAUUCUUUCAACAUCACUUUUCAUCUUAGACCAGUAAAAAUGCUCCUUCAAUACAUCUAAAGUCUUUUGAACCCCAAAGUGUCCCAUCAAUCCACCACUAUGUGCCUCCCUUACUAACAACUCUCGAAUAGAACAAUUAGGAACACAUAACCUAUUUUCCCGAAAUAAAUACCCCUCAUGCCUAAAGAACCUAUCAACCGCCCCUUUUAUGCAUGACAAAUAAAUAUCCAAAAAUUCAACAUUUUUUCCAUACAAUUCCUUAAUAUGUUCAAACCCAAGUAGCUUAGAAUCAAGAGUAGUCAACAAUACGUACAUUCGCGAUAAUGCAUCCGUCACCACAUUUUCCUUACCUUGUUUAUACCGAAUGACGUAUGGAAAGGUCUCAAUGAAUUCCAUCCACCGUGCAUGCCUCUUGUUCAAUUUACCUUGUCCCUGCAAGUGCUUUAGUGACUCAUGAUCGGUGUGUAUUACGAACUCCUUCAGCCAUAGAUAAUGUUGCCAAGUAUCCAAAGCUCGAACAAGUGCAUAAAGUUCUUUGUCAUAUGUAGGAUAAUUUAAAGCAGCUCCACUCAAUUUCUUGCUAAAGUAUGCAAUAGGCCUCCGAUCCUACAUUAAAACUACUCCAAUCCCUAUUCCUAAUGCAUCACACUCAAUCUCGAAUGUUUUAUCAAAGUUAGGUAAUGUCAAAACAUGUGCUUCACACAAUCUACCUUUAAUAGUAUUAAAUGCAAGUUCCUGUUCAUCACACCAAUGAAAAUCUACACUCUUUUUAACUACCUCCGUGAAUGGUGCAGUAAUAGUGCUAAAAUCUUUCACAAAUCUCCUAUAAAAACUAGUCAAACCAUGAAAACUCCUAACUUCCGUUAUGCUUUUAGGUGUCGGCCAAUCUCUAAUAGCUUUUAUCUUUUCAUCGUCUACUUCUACCCCAUUAGCACUAACCACAAAACCAAGAAAAAUAACUCUAUCCAUACAAAAUGUGCAUUUCUUAAGAUUAACAUAGAUUUGUUCUUUCCUGAAAAUAAUUAACAUACACUUUAAAUAUUCCAAAUGCUCUCCUAGGUCUUUGCUAUAGAUUAAGAUGUUGUCAAAAUAAACCACAACAAAUUUUCCUAUAAAAGCACGUAAAACAUGAUUCAUUAAACGCAUAAAAGUGCUAGGUGCAUUUGUGAGUCCAAACGGCAUAACCAACCAUUCAUAUAAAUCAUAUUUAGUUUUAAAAGUCGUUUUCCAUUCAUCACCCUCCCGCAUACGAAUUUGAUGAUACUCGCUUUUUAAAUCAAUUUUAAAAAAUAUGCAAGCACCAUGUAAUUCAUCAAGCAUGUCAUCUAACCUAGGUAUAGGGUGACGAUACUUUACCGUUAUGUUGUUGAUAGCCCUACAAUCCACGCACGUUCGCCAUGUUCCAUCCUUCUUUGGCAUAAGCAAAAUCGGUACUACACAAGGACUCAUACUUUCCCUCACGUAUCCUUUGCACAUCAAUUCCUCCACUUGCCUUUAAAGCUCCUUAGUCUCCUUGAGAUUAUUUCGAUAAGCCGGUCGAUUUGGAAUGACAGCUCCAGGUAUGAAGUCAAUUUGAUGUUCAAUGUCUCGAAUAGGCGGCAAUCCACUUGGUGCAUCCUCCGAAAAUAUAUCGUCGAAUUCCUGCAACAAAGACUUAGCAAACUAAGGAGAGGUAGGUUAGUUUCUUCAAAAUUGAGGAGUGAUUCCUUAUAAACUAACAAGAUCAUCUCUUUUCUCUCAAUUACCGCCCUCAUCAAAUCACUCUCUUUUGCAAAGAAAUUCGCUCGUGUUUUCUCUCUUCUCUCGGGGGCACUCUCUUUCUUUUCUCUCUUGUGAUUGCUCUCUCUUUUUCUCUCUAAUGGUUAUCUCAACAUUUUCUCUCUUUUUCUCCAACUCAGUAUUUGCUCUCAAUUUUUUUUAACUCUUUUGCUCUCCUCUCUUCCUCACUUCUCAAUUUUAAUUGGUCCUCAUAGACUUGUGCCGGUGUUAAUGGCACAAGAGUAAUGAUCCUUCCAUCCUUAAUGAAACUAUAUCGAUUUUUGUACCCAUCAUGCAUAGCCUUCCUAUCGUAUUGCCAUGAUCGCCUCAAUAAAAUAUGUCCCACUUGCAUUGGCACCACAUCACAUACUAACUCGUCCUUAUAACUUCCAACUGACAAAUUAAGUAACACCCUUCAAUCCACCCUCACCUCACCACUCUCAUUCAACCAUUGCAAUUUAUAAGGUCUCAUGUAUCUCAACAAUGUUAAACCCAAUUUUUCUACAAGAGAUACGCUAGCUACAUUAGUGCAACUACCACCAUCAAUUAUAACAUUACAUACCGCAUUGCUGGCGUGGCAUCGAGUGUGGAAAAUGUUCUCCCAUUGCAACUCCAAGUCAUCCGCUUUGACAUGUGUAGUGAGAGCUCACCUUGUGACUAGUAGAUCCCCAACCGACCCUUCAACUUUUUCUUCUUCACUAACAUCCUCCAACGCCGGCAUGUCAUCAAACUCGCCAUCACUAUCGCUCACAAUCUCUCCAUUAUCCCACAACACCAUCGCCCGUUUAUUUGGGUAUUGAGAAGCAAUAUACCCCGUUCCCAAACACCUAAAAUAUUUGAUGUCUCGAUUGCACGACGGUUGUGCCUCCGAUUUCGAUAUUGGUUUGCUAGCAUUUUCAUCCUUACCCUUUUACCAAUCAUUUUUACCCCUAGGUGCAGCCCCAUUUUUAUUGCUGUCAUCCCAUUUCGAUUUCCAUGUUGGAUUAGGAGUCGAAGUACCUAACGGUUGCCUAGACGUCCCCUUCCUCUUCAAUUGCCUCUCGACCUUCAUUGCCACAUGUAACAUGUCCUCAAUUUUCACGUAGUGUUGCAACUCUACAACGUUUGCAAUAUCCCGAUUUAACCCAUUUAUGAACCGUGGCAUGGUAGCUUCCCGAUCUUCCUCCACAUUAGCCCGAAUCAUAAGCAUUUCCAUCUCCUUGUGAUAAUCCUCUAUACUUUUCGAUCCUUGGUACAAACCUUGCAAUUUUUUAUGGAUUUCCCUAUAAUAGUGACUCGGAACAAACCUCCUCCUCAUCAACACCUUCAAUUCAUCCCAAGUGCUAAUUGGUAUUUCCUGACCCCUACACCGUGAUGUAAGUACUUGAUCCCACCAAGAUAUCGCGUAAUCCACAAAUUCAAACACCGCCAAUUUUACCUUUUUCUCCUCCGAAUAAUUAUAGCACUCAAAAAUCAUCUCAACCUUCCUUUCCCACUCUAAAUAUGCUUCCGGAUCGCUUCUCCCCUUAAAUUGCGAAAUAAUCAUUUUAAUACUCCCCAAAUUUCCAUCUACUUCAUCUCCCAAGUUAUUUCUACCCCGUCUUUCCAUCCUAUCGCCCCUAUACCUCGCUCAACCCAUAUCAAAGUCAUUUUCAUCAAAAUCAUCAUCAUCACUACGAUACUCAUCUCGCCUUCCUCUCCUAGAUUCAUGCCUACCCGGCCCCCUAGUAUUAGACAUCUCCACUUAUACCCAACUAAGAUUAGGCAAUUGUAGUACCUAUUUGCACCAUCUAUUCCCCUUGCCUAUCCACCUUCUCCCUAACAUCACCAAGUAGCCUUUCAAACCUCAUUAUCAUGUCCUCCGAUGCAUUGUUGUCAUUACCAUUUUGGCUUGAAUUAGAACUUUCUCUUUCCGACAUCAUAUCACACAAUUUUUUAUGCCUCACAAAGAUUUCACUUGGAAAACAUUCACUAUGGCUUUUUCCCUCUAUUAAACUCACCACUCGGCCUUUUACCACUCAAAGUCUCCCUUCAGGCACUUCAAAGAACCAAGUGAACUAAAUCAAUUGUUUUACCGGGAAUUCAAACAAACUGAAUAUUAAUCUAAGACUACGAGACUCAAAGGACUUGAAUAAAUGGAAUAGAUGAAUGUUUGACAAGAAUAUGUGAAUAGACUCAAUAGAAGAUUGAAAGAAUCGAACCCAAUUGCAUAUUCCAAAGUCAAACACUAUGUAGGAAUUGUUGUUGGUAGAAAAACAAAAUCAAACAAUAAUAAUAUCAAUUUUUUUCUCUUUUUUUUUGGUUUGUGAAUAAUAUUUCGAGAUGAACAGUACCUCGAAUGUACAGUAACUUUUUUUUGUACUCUUUUUUUUUUUUUACUCCUUGAUGAAAGAAGAUGAUUAAAUUACCAAUAACUCAACGAAACGACGAAAAGAAAAACAAGAAUGAAGAAGAACUAAGAAAGAACAAUUAAAAUUGAAGAAGAAACUAAGAAAACAAAAUUAACGACUCAAACAAAUAAAGAAAAGAUAUAACCUUCAAUUAAUUUGGAGUCAAAACUCUGAUAUCAAUUGAUACGAACCACGUAGCAACGUUGACUACAAAACCCAAAACGAGAUUGACGAACCCAAGAAAGCCAAAUUAAUCCAAGAGUUUAGGAAUAACCCAAAAGAAAGUCGAACCAAAAAACCCAACAGGAAUGACGCUUAAAAGACCCCUUGAUCACGCAAUCCAAGAAUUAAAUCCAGUUGUUUGAACGCCACAAGUUAACACUUGAUAAGUUCGAAGUUGUUCGAUGAAGAACGAUGAAGAGAAGACAAUACGCCACAUUUUUAAUUCAAUAUCAAAUAUGUCAAAGGUUUUUUUACAAUGAAUGAGAACUUCUAUUUAUACUAAACCUAAAAACUAGGUUAAAAUCAUGCAAAAGUCGACCUAGAAUUAUCAGGAAUGGAAAAGAAUCAAAAUCUAACAAAAUAUGAAAAAAAUACCAAAAAUAGGAAAUUCGCCAAAAAAAUGGCCUAUGCGACCGCGACGUUCAUUUCUAUGUGAUUGCAUAGUUCAAGUAAGUUUUCCCCUUUGAGUUUCGGUAAGCCUCCAUGCGACCACAAGCCUCAUAAGCCUAUGCGGUCGCAUAGGUUUAUCAUUUUUCUCCGUCUUCGGCUUUCGAUAUUAAAUUGAUCUAAGUUAAUUCAGCCUUCGACCUAAACAUGAAAAUUGCUCCAUUUUGAGUCCUGAACAUGGUUCCAUCAAUCGUUUCUUGAACGAGCAAUCCCAUCGCUUGUUUCACUUACUUUACCCUUGAUCGCGUCAUUGGUCCGCUAUUGACUAUCAACGGAUCUCGUCUCGCACUCGCCUUCGUCAAGCUUGACUCCUGGAUCAUAUCAGUUGGGUGAAUGUGAAAUAUAAGCAUGUGCUAAUUGUCAAUAGAUAUAUAUAUGACAAAUGUACUUGUGUAACUAUAAAUGUAUUGGUGUAAUGUAGUUGAAUAGUUUGGAAGAUGAUGAAUGUUAUGUUUUAGUUAGGAAACAUUGCGGUAUUUUUGAAUUGUAAAUAGAGGAAUAAGUGCAAUUUGUAUGAAAACCUUUUUGAGAUAAUUAACUAGAGAAAUUGAAAUGGAUGGACAUAAAAAUCGAACAUUUUUGGUACACACAAAUAUAAUUACAAGUAAAAAAGUUUCAUAGACAUGUCAAACUUCCAUCAAUUUGGUCUUUUUGUAUACCAUAAACAUCGGAGAUUCGUUAUUUAAUAGUUCAAAUACACGUGUAUUGUUGAUUCGUAGUUCUUUUUCUCUCAGAAAAUUUGCCCAGCCUACGGUAACACAUUGUAUUACACCGUUUGGUCUUAAAUUUGUGGUGAUAUCCUAAUUGUGAUGUAAAGAGUCAUGGAUUUGAACACUGUGCACAUAUUUUGGCAGAUGGUGUCUUGCAAACCUUCCUGGUAUACACUGGAAAACCAUGGAUGAAUGAUUUACUGAUGUUAAAAUCAAAAUUUUGUGGAAAAGGUAAAUAUAGAAUGAGGCAUUAAAGAUAAGACCUACGAUUUACCGAUGGUUGUUGUGAUUAGGUGUUAGUGUUACUUCGAAUGCGGGAUUAUCCAUGUGUGAAGCAUCCUCGUCCUCUUCUUCAGGAAUAUCGGAGUCAUGUUUGACCUCUGAUCUAGAAUUAUCAAAUAUCGUCAUAUUGAAUGUAGAAUUUCCAUUAUAUUGAAAUACCACAACAUAACCAUCCUAUAAGUUAUGAUGGUCGAAAAAAUGCUCCUAUCCAUUAGCCAUAUAUAUAUUUUCAUCGAUUCUUUCUAAUCGUAUUGUGACAAUUAUACCAUCAUAUGCAAUUAAUUGUACUAUAUCACCUAGUUCUUGUCUCCAGUAAUUGACAAAAAAUGUAGGAAACAUCUGUAUAUAUACAUGUGAAAAAAUAUAAGUGGUAUAUUAAUAAAGUAUUUAUACAAAUGUGCAAGAAGAAAUUAUUAUAUAACUCACUAGACGAAUGUUAUGGUUUAGUGAAUGAAUGAUAAUUUUGAAGAAGCAAUAUGACACAUCAAUUUUUGUGUUGAUACACUGUAGUGAGAAAAUUUUUAUAAGAAUAAUAGUUUUUACAAUAUGGAAGCUUUGAGAUAGAUUUUUUGAUAAAUUUUGAAGUAGUUAAAAAGUUUGAUGAUGGCAUAAAUUUACAAAGAAUAAUACACAUCAUAUCAUGCAGUUUGUAACAAAUUAAUAAUUUGUGUAUGAUUUAUAACACAAUUGAAGAUUGAAAAUUAGUCCAUGGAGAAACAAUAUGUUAUUUAAAACUACAGAAUUUAUUUUGAAAAAAUUAGUAAAAGGGUUAAGAAAAAGUAGACAAAACCUGAUUUUGUUUGAGCAAAGCGCCGGUAGGUAAUGAUAUGUAAAUUUUUUAUGUGAGAAAUGGUUUAAGGUAAAUGUUGAAAACAUGAGAAGAUAUUUAAGCUAAAGGAAAUGUACUUUUUCAUUUUUUAGAGGAUUUGACAAGAGGUUCACGUGUUGUUUGUUAUAUAAAUAGACAAAGUAUUGCUGAAGAAGACUGAUAUCACUCUUUCCAAAAACAAAAAUGAGCAACAGUUUUCAUUUAAUUAGAUAAGAUAUUACAUUGCUUUUUUUUUUUUAGGGAUUGUUAGACUUGGUUAGAAAUAAAUUUUAUUAUUAAGGUAAAUGUGAAGUGUUGAUGGUGGAUUGAAUAUAAAUAAAAUAAUGUCCACAGAAAAGAGACGAUCAAUAAAAAGAAUGAGAUUCAAAAGAAGUAGAAGCAUAAUUUUAUAUAACUAACAAAAGAAUAGUUAUAUAAUCAAAUUACAAGCGAGGAUUUCAUUGCAUAACCAUUGUAUGGAGCCACAACUCACUGUCACAAAGAUAAAAGACAAAAAAUACUCAUUGCAUCGCUAUAGAUUGUCAUCAAUGGAUUAGGAUGCAAUGCCUUUGCCUUUCACAUUAGUAGUAUCUGAAGGAGAAUGAGUGAAAGUAGAGAAUAAAUCUCUCCUAGCAGAUGAUUGAUUUGAAUCGUGUUCUAUUAAUUGAAUUGAUUCAGUGAUUGGAGUUAGAGAUGUUCUCCCAUCGCCAGCAAGUGGACUUGAUGGAGUUAAACUGGUCCCAUCACUACUCACAAUUGAAUGUUUUGCCAAAGGAGUAUCUACAAUAAAAAUCACAUCAUAUUUGUACUCUGCUCCUCUAUUUUGCUGUUUGACUUCUUUGAUGUAGAAAAAUAGGUGAUUCUUCGCUUUAGAAGUAUUAAUUGAUUUUAUGAAAUCUGGCAUUUUGUCCUGUUAAAUAAAAAUGUUAGAUGUGGUAAUCUAAUUGGAUAUAUAAAUAUAUGUUUUAUGUAGAUACCAAAGCUGUUAGUUUCAUCAAUGUGAGUACAGAUUAUUGUAACAACUUUUCAGCAGGUUCUCCUAUCACCGUAGCUUCAACAGAUGCUAAUGAGUCUUGCAACCGAAUAAAAACUCUUGCUCUAUUGAAAGAUGAUAUGAUUAUUAGAAAAUACAAUUUGUAAUCUGGGAUUACUAUAUAUCUUAGAAUAGCAUGAGCUUGGGAGUAUCUACAGAAGGAACAGCAAUGGAUCUCAUCAAAUUCAGCAUAGGUAGAUUUGUUGCAAUUACUUCAUGACAUCUACCAGAAAGAUUGAUCUUCAUUUGUUAUCACUGGUUUUGCCUUUAACCAAAAGUAGUUUCACUGUCUAAAGAAAAUAAAAUAAUGAUGAGUUUACAUAAAAAUGGAGAAAAAAAAGAAUGAUUUUAGAAUUAAGGAAUUUAAAAUAUGAAAAAACGCACUCACAACAGGCGAAAGUCCUUCUAUGUUUCUGAUUGUUGUGAUUUUGUCUUCUUUUGGAAUUGAGAUUCUUGAAGAUGUCAAUUCAUAAUAAUAUUUUUUGUCAACAUUUCAUUGAGCUUUUGUACAUUUGCAUCCACCCUACAUGUUAGUUAGUAAAACAAGAAAUGGAGAUGAUCUUGUUUCUAAGUUAGAAUAAACUUUACAUCAUUAAAAGAAAGUUCCUGGACUAUUUAUAGCUGAAGAAUAAGUAAACAAGUAGACUAAAAUUUAAGAAAGUAAUUACCAAGAUCUAAAUUCAAUAGUUUCUUUGAAAUGAGCAUCAAUGAUGAAAGAGCUGUUAGGUUUUGUUCAUACUGAAAGCCCUAUCACAUAUAAAAUGAAAAUUUCUUUAAAAUAAUUUGUAAAUAAACAACACUCAUUGUAGAUCUAUACAUUAAUUAAUUAUAUUAUAAGUAAUUAUAAAACAUACCGUUAAAAGAUGUUACUUUCAGCUGUUUUGCAACAAUGAUGGGUUUUUUAAUCAACUUAUCUGAAAUAAGACUGCAUUUUUUUCAACGAAACCAUUCCACAUAGUCAAAACCACUACCUCAAACCUAAAAAAAUGUGAAGGCUAAAAAUAUUUGAUGCGGAAGUAGUAUAAAAAAAUAUAGUGGUAAAGUGACAAAUGGUAGUGCAAACUUGUUGUCAAUGAGAAUGAUAUCUAGAACAUAAGAUUGAGAUCCAAAAUGUCUUUGAAUUAAUCUUUUUGGUCGUAUAUCGAUAGCAACUCCAAAGAUAGCUGAAAUAAAAAAAAAUUGUAAUUUUAUAUAUAGAAAAAGAUAAGAAUAAUAGUUAAAGAAAGAAAUUAGGAAUUACAGAUGUCUGUAUUUGAAUCCAUAUAUUCCUGCAGCUGAUGGAAAUGAGUAAAUAUGUAUGUAGAAGAUAAAAGGUGACUAUAGCCUUCUCGAAUUUCCUAUAUUCUGGUUGUUCCUGAAAUAGUCCAUCGGUAUUCACCAAUGGAAUAUCUUAAUUGAAGUGGUGUAUAUCUUACAUUUGCAUUAGAUAUUAAGUAUGUUUUGGACAGAAGCAAACGGUCUUCCAAAAUUGCUAUGUUUGAAUUGAAAAUUGUAGCCUGCACCUUGUGUCCUUUUAGAACCACUGUCAAAUUUCCAAAUAAGUAAUAGAUGAAAUGCAGUUAAAACAUUAGUGUGUAGUAAAUAUGUGGUAAAGUUUUAGAAGUGAAAAACAUACUUUUGUGUCAAUCAGUGUUAUCUUCAAGUAUUUGGAAACACCAUUUCGAGCUAGUUUUGGAGCACUUUUUUCAGCUACAACGACUUUGGCUGUCCAAUUACUUUGUCCUGGAUAGAUAGUUGAAUUAAUCUGUAAUUUUCAACCGUUCUUCUUUUUCUUCUUCUUUUGCAUAUAAUGAUGUAGUUUAUACAUGAGAGUAAGCAUAGAGAAUUUAUUUGAAGAAAAAAAUUAUUAUGCAAAAAAUUGUAUACUUUAUUACAUUUUAAAGCUGAUGCAAAAUAAAGAAAUGCAGAGAAUAUAAGUAUUUUGUUUGAUGAUGGAAAAAGAUUGCAAACCUAUACAUAUAUAUAGUUGAAGAAUUGGUAAAGAAAUAUAUUUAAAAAUUCAUGAUGAUGUAAAAAAGGUAUGAUUUUUUUACAGAUGAUAAGUAUGACUUCUUCAAUAGGUACUCUAUAAAAAUUAGAAAUUAGUGGAUUUGGGUAUGGAAAUAAUUUGAUUUGAUAGGAUUUUGGGAUAAAAUGUGGAGAAAGGUAUGACAAAAAGAUUUGUUAGUAAAAGAAAUCACGUUAAUAGCAAGAUUUUGCUUCAAGUAAUUAAAAAUUUUGUUCUAACCAUUUAAUAAAAUUUGAAAUAAAUCAGGAAUUAUAUUUUUAAAAAAUUUUACAUCUUAAAAAAGUUUUACAUAAAAAUUGAAAAUUUUGAUAUUUUAGUAAUUAAAAAAUUAUUUGGAAUUUUUUAACACCAUUCAAUGCUAUAUUUAUUUUUUUCACCAACCUUUCUCUAUCUUUUUCUAUUCUUCCCAUUUUCAAGUUUUCCAUCAGAAGAAAAAAGCUUCCAUCGUAUAGAAAAAAGGUAUGCUUACAUAUUUUUUUUGCUCAGAUUUGAGUAGAUAAAGGUGUUUCAAAUAGAAAAAAUAUGUAGAUUUAUGAAAUUGUGAAACAGACUACAUGCACGGAGCAGAUCUGGCCUGGACGGAGCAAAAGCUCUGUGCAGCACGGAGCAGAUUUUUUUCUUCGUUAAAUUUUUUUUUUAAUAAUUUACAGAUGUGUUUAGAGUACGCAUUGACUCCAAAUCAGUGGUUUUCUACUACUAUCACUCAAUAUUCAAAUCAUCAAUACUUUAAAGAUUUUGUGGAAUUUAUACAUGCUAACGAAUAAGCCUCUUUGUUAUGCAGUAAUUUUUAUAGAUUCAUUUAUGGAUUUAUUUAUAGAGGAGAAGAAGGACAAUUUAGCAGCAAAUUAGUUCACGAAUUUAUAAUGAGAAUUGUAAAUUGUGGUAAGAAAAAUGAAAUUUGGGUGAGGUUAGAUAACAACUUGGCUAGAUUUGGUAUGUAAGAAUUCUGUACUGGAUUACCUUAUCACGAAGCACCCAUGAAUAAUGAUUUUAAUAGUAAUCGGCUUAGAAAUGAAUAUUUUAACAGUAGCAAAAGGAUCAGCAUGAGAAUGCUUUUUGAAGUAUUCCACAUCUGUUAUAGUGAAGAAGAUAAAUUUAAUUUCGGAUUGGUUAUGUUGGUCAAGUGUAACUUGAAACCAACUAAAAGGUACACUGAUUAUAGGAUUCUUAUCAUGGUUGACCACCUUGAAGAGUUUUUUUCGUAUCCAUGGGGUUGUAAGUCAUACUUUGUUUUGUUAAACUCCCUACAAGAGUCACAACUAGAUAGAACACAAAGCAUACAACAAAAUCACAAAUAGAUUGUAAAUAUGCAUUACAUGGAUAUCCUCUUACAUUCCAGGUAAUUUUGUUUUAUUUUUAUUACUUAUUCUGUAUAAUUUAUUUAUAUACAAAAAAAAACAAAUUGUAUACAUCUAAUACCAAAUUUCAAUUAUGCUAUAAUAUUAGAUUUAUGAAGCAUUUCUUGAAAUUGGAGAAAGAUUAGGACGCCGCAAAUACAAAACAGCACAAAUUCCACGAAUGCAUAGAUGGAAACCAAAAUUUUAUUUGACAGAGAAAAUAGUCAAACAAUUUUUAGCUAAUGAAGAGGUAUAAUUUUUUUGUUUAUUAAUUUGUAAUUACAUGUUCAUUUAAUUAUGCAAAAAAGAAAUUUAACGAUUCUAAUAUUUGAUCGUACAGAUCCAUGCAAUUGCAAUGCUACAAACAGACGAACAAGAAUUGCAAACAUUAUGGUACAAUACUCUAUCACUGCUAUUGGACAAUCAACACAGCAUAUUCGAUGUCAUCGUGAAUAGAAAUCUGAACAAUGUAGCACAACAACAAAUCCUAGAUUACCUCAAUGUGGAACAAACGACUGUUCUUGGUACUUCAAGACACAAGGUUCAGUUGGAGUGCAACAACAUAACCACAAAAGAAAUUGAGAAAAUAUUGGCUACAUAUAGGCAACACACAGUAUCAGAUGUCAUUAAUUUGUGUAGCAACCUAAAAGAACAAAUUGCAGAAGAGCAAGAUGUACAUCAUCAUGCACUUCUUGAAAAUAAAAAACAAUUGUUUCAACUGCAUCAAAAAUGGCAGGAAGAUCAUAUGCAAUCUGGAUUCAAUCUGCUAUCCAAUCUUAUGCUGAUACUUCACGCUUGUGUGAGAGUCUGUUGAAUGAUCAUAUUGCUGAGGAAUCAAAAAGACAACAAACUCAUUACCAAACAGUCCUUGACAAUCAAAGACAAUUCUUCAAAGAACAACAGAAGUGGCAAGAAAAUCAUUAUCAAAAUAUCCAAUCGGGCAUAGAAUCUUAUGUAGAUGCCAACAUAAAUUCAGUAUCAUUUUAUAUCGAUGAAAAAAUAAGAGCAUACUGAAGGAAUUACAUGAGUGGGAAUCAAAUAUGGAAACAAUUAUAGGUUCCAUACAGCAAGAUCUUCUUGUAAGUACUUCAACUUCCAGUAGUUCAAUUCCUAGCACUCAAUUGAUGCCAUUGUCGACAUCUCAACAAAUUAAGAGUUUUGAAAGAUUGAGAAGAGAUAGGAAAAAUAAGGGGAAACGGGUACAAACUUCACCUAUAAAUUAUCCUUUAGAAAACUAUCUCAUGGAGAAGUACACAAUAAUUAGAUAUUGGAUUCUGAAACAUCCAUCUGGGUAAAAAAUCUAAUUUUACUUUAUUAGCUUAAAUAUUAUAAUUUUGUUAUGAUUUAUCUAAUGCUAACUUAAAUCAGUUACACUGCACAUAUUGAGAUGAUGGAUGUAACAAUAUGUAUGGAAGAGAUAUGUUGAAGAUUUUAUUGGAGAUAACAAAAGAUAUAGUUUAGUAAUCACAAUAAAUUUUUUUCGAUUGCUAUAUAUUUAAUCUAUGCUUAUUUAUUUUAUUAGAACAUUGAGGUGGAGUUAAAACUAUUGAGACAGCGGAUUAAUGAUGAUUGUACACUUGUUUCUAAAGAAUAUGUGAUCAUGGACUUUGAAUUUCAAACUGAAUGUGUUCGUCAGAUGUUAUAGCAAGUAAACUCAGGAAACAGAAUUAACAGUAAAGAUCAACCAAUGGAAACACUUAAUUUACAGGAGUAUGUAAAUGGUGGAUUAUUUCAUCCUAGGACAUCCAAUAGAAACUGUUUUGCCAGACAGGAUGAGCACUUUGUAAACUAAUGUUACCAUCCUAGGACAUCACUGUUACCACUUUGUAAACUAAUUGUUAUAUUUUCCUCUAGUUGCUAUUCCAAGAACGAAUUCAUAAGCUCACAAAUAAAAUAUUGAAAUUUACACUUGCACGUAACCAUUAAUAUAACAACAGUAACAAGAAAAAAGGGUUUUGUAGAUAAGUGAACAAGGCCUAAAAUUAUAUAUCAAAUAAAAGUAGAAAAGCACUCAAAAGCUAGAAAAAAAAAAAAAAAAGAGGAAAUUCACCUUCAAUACAAAAUUUAUAGUUGCAAUUGAAUUGUCCGUGUUGAAGUCAAUAUUCACUAACCUUAUGUACUCUUAUGCACUCUUUUGAAUUUGUAUUAUAGAAAUUUUCCUUUCUGACCAACAAAAUAACAAAGAUAAAAUGUUGUUUUAAUUUUAUAUUUGUCAAUCUUUCAAGCAAAAAAUUUUAUACAAAUUUGUACAUAAAAAGAGAAAAGUUAUGGGUAAGGCAAUAGGAUUUAUAGAUUUGGAGUUUACAAUAAAUGUAAUAAGAAUUAGUCUCAAUAAGUAAUAUUAUUGUUUAAAAGUUAAAACAUUGCUAGUUUCAUGAAUACAAUCUCAGAAAACAAUCAUCUAAACAUAAAGAAAACUAAAUUAAAGAUAGAAUUUUAUCAUAAACAACAUUCUUAGUACAUUUAGCAUAGAUUUCAUCAUCAAAUAUUGGUUUGGCAAGAAUUUUAAUACAUGUACUUAUUUUUGCUCUUGAUAAUACAACAUAUAACUAUUCGUGUGAAAAUACUGGUUGUGGAAGAUAUAUUCCAACAUAGUCUAAAGUUUGUCCCUGAGAUUUGUAUAUAAUCAUUGCAAAAUAUGGGCUUACUCGAAAUUAUGUUCUUUUAAAUGGAAAUACAGUUUUAUCACACUUCAACAGAAUAAAAGAAAUACGAGAUAGAAAUACUUUAUUGCCAUUAUAUUCUCCAGUAGCAAUUUCUGCAUGAAUGACAUUCCGUUCUAAGUCUUUGCAUAUUAAUCUUGUUCCAUUACACAAUCCUUUUGCUGGAUUAAUAUUUCGGAGUAAUAUUACAGGACAGCUAAUCUUCAACACUAAUUCAUGUGGUGGUAUACCAUUUGAGGUUAAAGAAUUCAAAAAAGCUUCUUGCAUGCACUUUCUUGUCUUAUCUAAUAUUUCAUCGAAGCUGUAAUAAACAAUAACAUCACCUAGGAAAUGUUCUAUGAGAUUAUUAUUGAUGUCAUCGGCAUGCUCAUUUUUUAUGCUAAAAUAACCCGAUUCAUCAUAAGUGGAAGGUUUUUUGAAUAGUUAACUAUUUCAGGAAAUACAAUAUCAAUUAGUUUAAGUAAAGAAAUAUUGUCUUCUUCAUAAUCCAGAGUCAUACAAUACCAAAGCUUAAUCAUACUGCAUGAACGCUUAUUUUCUGUUCCAUUUCCAAUCCUAAGUAAAUAUUCUAAAAAAGAAGGAUCAAAGAGUGCUCCCAUAUUUCGAUGUAAUUUGAUUUUUGUAAAAAGACGCCAUAGAUAAGAGUUAAAAGGCUUGAUACGAUUAUGUCUUCUUUACUCCAUUAACAACAAGUAAAGUCUGGUGAAAAUUUCCAUCUAAAAUGAUCACCUUCCCACCAAAUGAUAAUUCAAAGUCUAUUAUAUCUCUUAACAUUUUGUCUAAGGCUUCAACAGCUUGAGAAUUUAUCAUUGGAGCUUCAUCCCAAAUUAUUAAGUGUGUCAUCCUAAGCAGAUCAACUAGAGCAGAUUGUUUACUCACUAAGCGAAUACUAUCACUAUGAAUAUAAAAUGGAAUUUUAAAUCUUGAAUGUGCUGUUUAACCUCCAAGUAAUAAAUCUGCAGUGACCCCUGAAGAUGCAGUUGCUAAAGCAACCAAAAUUCUUGAUCUAACAAUUGUAAGCAAUCCACGAUACAAAAAAUUUUCCCUAUUCCACCCAAACCAUCAAUAAAAAACAUAUCACCAAUAUUAUUGAAAGCUUUAUCAAGUAUUAUAUCAUAAGCAGCUCUUUGCUCUUGGUUUAAUUAUCUGGACAAAGAAGAUCAUCUUUGGAUAUUGUCACUCCUAAUUCGUCGUUAACCAUUCUUUCUAACAAUUUAUCCUUCUGUUGGAGAUUAAUAUCAUAAAGACCAAAUCCAUAAUCAUUUAAAGAUUUUUCGAAAGGCUCCAAGAACGAAUUUAUAGACUGCAAUGUUUUUACUUCUGCAUCAUAUAAACUUACAUUUCUGUUCAAAUAAUCUUCACAUAGAUUCUUUAAAUUGAUGCCAUAAUUUUUUUGGAUCGGGACUACAAAGUGCUAAAAUAGUAGCAAAUAACCGGCGCAAUGAAUUUGAUAUUUGAUAAGUACAAGUUUCCUGUAAAACACAAUUGACAACUAUCAUUCGCUCUAAUCAAACCUUGUAAUAUUACAGCUUCACAAAAAGUUUUUACAGAAAUGCCAUUAACGAAUUUUAAACCAUUAAAAGAUAAGGGUCCUCUAAUGUAGCUCAACAAUAUUCGCAAGUAAUAUCUUUCACCUUUAACUGGAUUUGCUAACACAAUCCUUCCAACCACAACACCUUUUUUUUCCUAAUAGUCCAACAUUUACUUUGCCUAUCCCACACAAAUUGUUCAGGGAAUUCUCUGUACAAGAGUUUUCUUGCUGCGUCAUUUGUAGCAUUCAUUGUAAAAAAAUCAGUUAACAUGGUUUUUUGAAAAAAGGGUUGUUUGGUAACUCUAGGAAGAUCAUCAGCAUUUUUAUAUGUAAUUAAUUGCUAAUAUUCGAGGAGCAACUGUAAUGAAAUAACAGUUGGAUACAUUUCAUACAUCGUAAAUCCAUAAAUCCUCCACAUUGCUUCAGGGAGAGAGAUCUAUCUACCUGACUGAAAUUUUUGUAUUUCAUCCAUACAAUGAAAUUCGUUGUCAUUGUUCACAAAAAAACUGACUGUUUUAUGUCCUCUGUAAACAUAUUUGUACAAAUAUUUUACAUCUUUUAUUGUUGAACAUAUUUAUACAUUAAUAUGACAGUCAUAUUUAGCUAACAGAUAAAAAUUACAAGGCAAAACCCACCUAUUAUCAAGGAAAUGUUUUCUAACUUUAACUUUGUUACGAUUAUCACGUCUUCUAUGUUUAGGAUAAGAAUUUUCAUCCAAAGAAGUGUGUGUAUUGUAUUUAUGUGGAUAAUGGCUUGUUGCACCAUUUUGCAUACACACAUUGUUUGGAUUUAAAGAACCACAAGGACCGUGCAUCAUGUGUUAAAUAACAAUGGAAUACAAAUAAGGAUACUCUAUACAAUCAGGGAUUUCAACGGAUACUAUCUUGUCUGCAUUUUCAGGAGAAAUAAUCUUGGAACCUGAUUUAAGUAUAAUUAGAAAGUGAGCACGUUGUAAACCUUUUUCUUGAAACUCUAUAACAUAUAUAUAUAUAUAUAUAUAUAUAUAUAUAUAUAUAUANNNNNNNNNNNNNNNNNNNNNNNNNNNNNNNNNNNNNNNNNNNNNNNNNNNNNNNNNNNNNNNNNNNNNNNNNNNNNNNNNNNNNNNNNNNNNNNNNNNNNNNNNNNNNNNNNNNNNNNNNNNNNNNNNNNNNNNNNNNNNNNNNNNNNNNNNNNNNNNNNNNNNNNNNNNNNNNNNNNNNNNNNNNNNNNNNACGAGUCCAAAUAAUUGUUUCUUGAAUAAAUCUCUUUUUAACUCUUCUAACUUUGCUCUAAAAACCCAUGAAACCAAAUCGGGUCAGUUUUGAACUUCAUCAUAAUACUUUAAUUCUCACUUUAUCUCAAGCCAAUUUGAAUUGCAUGUAAUAGUUAAAAAAAUAUCAGGCUUUCCAAAAUUUUGAUCUAAUGUCAUUGCAUCCAUGUAUCUUUUAUUCAAAUUCCUAGGACCACCAAUGAAUGAGGAUGGUAAAAUAAUCCUCCUACCUACACUCGAUCCUCUAUUUUCACCAUUUUGCACACUAUCAACAACUCUAUGAUAAAGCUCACUACGUAUUGCUGCCUGAUUGUUAUGGAAGUAAUCCAAUCUAGAAUAUUCAACUUUAACAUACAUAUCAACUACAUACUGUCGGAAAAGUCUACCAGCAUGUAAUAGAAUAGAGUUGUCUAAUGAUCUUACCUGUAUUUAUAACAAUAAUACUCAUGACACGAGACUUGGCAUCGUUUCCGCUUUUUUUGCAAAACUGAAUAUGCAUUAAACAUCAGCAAAAAAUGUAAUUAUAAUUAAAAAAUAAAGCAAUCGAUAAUCUAAAAUCUUAAAACAAACAAAUAAGCUAUAUUCAAACCUGUCAUUUCAUUAUUCAGCAAUUCUUUUGGAGAGUUAACAUAAUGUGCAUCAAUCAACGGUUGUAUACAAGAAAUAUCAUCAUGCCUGUGAAAUUUUUUUUACCCUUUCAAUGCCCUAAUGCUAAUCAUGUUCACCAUUAGGAAAUAACAAAGGAUACUGGAAAGGGUCAUAAAAUCCAAAAUAAUAAUGCACUUUAUGUUUGUUACCAGAAUGAGCAUUAAUGGAUAUAUCACGAUUUUCAACAUUUUCUGAUAUUCCAUCAUCUACCAAAAUGGCAGCAACUUAUGAUGUUGUGGGAUCUUUGUAAAGUCUUUGAUCUAUACUUAAAGUAGAUAUAAUUUUUAUAUGAUAACUUUGUAAAUUAUGAGUAUUAGUUAAACUUCUAAAGAAUUUUACGUAAGGAUUAAUGUGUAAGAUGUGAACUAAUUUCUCAAUAAUUGAUUGAGAUACUCCAUCUGAUAUUUUCAAUCGAUUUUGUAUCUCAUUCUCAGUGUCAUAAAAAUAAAGCUGUAAACAAGAAGACUUAGAAUCUAUUGGAAGAAGAUUAUUCAGGUAAUGAUAUAUUUGUCCUUGAAUUCUAAAAGUAUAUAUUCUUUUAUUCCUUCUACAUAAGUCUUCAUAAUAUUUUACUCCAAAUGAAAUAAAUGCAAAACUACAAUUGUAAGUUCGGAUAUAAGUCCUAAAUUCAACUGAUUCAAUUGAGGAGGAUGUAAAUAAAUCAUACAAUUCUAGAGGUACAUCAUUUAUCUUUAAUUGAACGGUUCCAUCAGAACAACAAAAACGUUACUUUCUCUUUUAAAUUUCUCUGCUCCACAGAAAUUACAAACUGUUGAAAGAGAUAACAAAUAACAUUGGGUUGGAAUUUGUUGUAAAAUGUGUACAUUCGAACUACUUUCUUUUGGUGAAGAAGCAAUACCUAACAAAUACGCAAUUUGCAAUUAAUUCUAAUAUAUAAACUUCAACUUGAAAAAAUCAAGUGAAAGUAUAACUCACCUUUGUCAGUUUCUUCACGAAUACUUAUAAAUCCCUCAGAUUGACAAAUAGGAUUAUCUAUAACGCAAAUAUAAGAAAAAUUUUAAUUAAAGAAAUAUAUAAUUAAACAAAAGACGAAAUUUAUAGAAUUACUGUUCUUUGUGCUUUUCUAUCACGAAAAGUCACUGCUCUCAUUUUCAGUCGCCUUUUUGUCGUAUUUCUUGUGCUUGGGCGUAUACUUCUCGUCGACUUGAAUUUCGGGUUUCUUUUGUCGAAAAUCCAUUACACGAACAACUAAACACAAUAAACAAAUAACAAUUUUAAGCAUUAUAUAUAUACUACAGGAAUUAAUUGAUGAAGGUAAUUAAAACUUUGAUUUUGAUUCUUUCAAGAGUCCGCACAGCAUGGAGAAAACCUCCACUAUACGUAGAGUAGAGUCUCCACUUUGCGGUGUGCAAGUGCUUACCCAUGGAUUUAAUGUGUUCUUUUCAAAACUUUUCACUUAAUUCAAUGUAUUCAAUCUAUUCCACUGUCCAAAUCCAUUUUUAAUCCUCCCAAUAAGUCUGUUGAAAGAACUGCAAUAUGCAGUUGUUCAUAGCACACAAAAAAGAAUCCCAGUCAAUCAGCUUAUGCAGAGACACUCGGAGCAUCAUCUUUGCACUAUGCAGAGAAUUUAAGUCAAUCUAAUUCAAUCAUUUUUUGAUUUGGAAAGAGAAGAAAAGAAGAAAGUUAAGGAAGAAGAAGAGUACAGGAUUGGUAAAUUGAGUGAAAAUGGAGAAGAAAUAAUACGAACACAUCUUGCGCUUGCAAUGCCAACAUCAAUUGAAGAAAGAAAUAAUUACAGGACGAUUAGUUUCAAUUCGAUGGAUUCACACAAAAAAGUAAAUGAUUGCGCAACUUACAUAAACCAAUCCAAUAUGUAAGCCUGCAAUUUAAUCUACUUUUUGGAUUUGGAAAGAGAAGAAAAUAAGAAAGUUAAGGAAGAAGAAGAAACAUACUACAGGAAUGGUAAAUAGAGUGAAAGAAAAAAAAAAAAAAAUAGUACCAAAAGACCUUACGGCAUCAAUCAAUUAUGGAAAUAUAAAAAAAGUACAGGACGAUAUGUAUUUGCGACACACGUCCAGGGAAUGCCUUCACUCUUUUAUAUAUGUAGAAUUAGAUUAAUUGAAAUGAAAAAGGAAAAUCUAUCUUCCAAUAUUUUUUACCUCAUUCACUGGUGACUAGCAAAUCGAUUGCUCCCAAAGUCCUUGAGUCCUCGCUUCAAACUCCAACUGGACGGUGACCAGAUUGGUAGGCGAGGCAACGGCCUCAACCUUCAUUUGAAGUUCAUCUUCUCCUUAGGCAGCUUCUUCUCCAAUCUCCACCAUCUUUCACAAAUUACACGAGAACUCAAAAAACCACAAAAUAAUUUCAACCCUAACACUUGGCCUGCCCUCACAGUUGCUCGCUCCGUGACCAGCGACCUUCGUUGCUCGAGUCGCCACCCAACACGUUAAAAGGCUUUAUGAUAUUUAUGGGUCAAUUUUACUGUUUUUCUAUUGGGUUUUUCUGAAUUAUAUUGAAUCUUUAAAGAACUUCACUUUAUUUAUCAAUCUUGUAUGCCCAUUUCUGAAUUUGUCUAUAUGUGUUUUUGCCCGGUUUGUAACGUUCUAAAAUUCAAUCAUUUAUUAGAGUAAUUAAGUUGUGUAUGAUUCUCUUUAUCUUGCAUUUUCUGCAUCCGAACAAGUCGUCACUUGUAACUUAAUUACCUUAUUUUAAAAAUUCGGAUGUUUGUGGAUUUCAAGUUGUCUUUUCGAUGAAUAACAGUAACAUCACUUGAUUCACUUCUGCGGCUCUGCCUGCCUUAAUUAUAUCUUAGAGGAUGAUAUGAGCUUGUUAGUUUGAAGUUUGAACCUCUCGCGUCUCUUUGUGUUUUUGGGUUAUUCUUUGGGGUUUGUUCUUGGAACUUUUUUUUCUCCCUAUUUAUUUCUUUUAAUGCUAUGAUAUCAAGUAUCAAUCACAAUAAAUUUGUUGAUUAACAAUGCUAUAAAAUGGGAUUUUGUUAGUUGUUACUACCGAAAUUCCAAGUUUCUAAUUUAUUGCCGACUUUGAGUAUUUGAUUUAUUAUAUCGAAGUCACGAUAGUUAUUUGGAAACAUGGAGGAAAGAGAAAAUAAAAACUAGUUAAAUGAAAGAAAGAUAAGAAGUCUAUCUGGAAGCAUAUUUGAUAUGUGGAAUGGAGUAGAGUAAUAGGUGCUUAUUGAGUUAAAUGUUAAUGCAAUAUAAUUAUAUAUUUGUAAUCGUAUUGGUGUUUGAUCUUAAAUUUUUAUUUCGAACUUGUGAGUUGUGAUAGUGGUCCAUGGAAUUCUCAAGGGCAUGAUUCCAUAAUUUUCAUCGAAAUUCUGCUUCUUAGGUAAAUAAUGGCUUGCCCUAACAUAUUAUUGAAUAUAUUGGACCUAACAUAUUAUUGAAUAUAUUGGAAACGUUUGAAGCCUUUUCGGCUUAUAUAAUUGGUCGGCUUAUAUGAUUGGUUAUUGUAUUAUCAAUUGCACAGGCGCCCGUAGUAACUAUAUUGAAAACUUUAAUUUUGAGAUGAUUUAGAUAUUUUGUAAUUGUCUUUUUAAGUUAAUCCUUAGGCAUUACGUUAAUUUAUUUUAUAAUAUAAAUUUUUUAUAUAAUAUAUUCGUUUGUUGUUUUAAUGUUAAGCUUUAAGUUAGCAAUAGGCUACAUAAAACACUGUUGAAUUUCGCAUUUACAUUGAUUUUGGGGGCCUAAUUUAUGGAUUUCGCCUCUAUCCCCGACAAUUGCAAGACUGACCUUGAUAGAUCCCUGUUUGCAAAGCUACUCCUCCAUUCAACAUCACCAACUAGAAAGAUAGUGAUUAUUAAUAAUGCAAUCCCCAAAUCAAACAGAGUUAAAUCAAACAGAGUUAAUGGAUAACUGAGAUUAAAACAGUAUACUAAACAAAUUCAGCAGUUAAUGGAGAUGGAAUAAAAAUAAAAUUUCAAAUAUGUAGCAAAUUUAGCUUUAUUUCUCCCAUUUUUACUGUCACAAAAUGAAAAACCCAGCAUAAAACUAAUGAAAAAUAAGCAAAAACAUUAUUAUAUCAAUGGAAGACAACACAAGAAAACUGAAACGUUCUUAAAAUGUUUAGUUUCUUGAUUUUUCCAUUAACCAAAUUCCAACAAUAUAAGUCAAAUUAAAGAUUAAGACUAGAAAAAAGAAAUGAACAAAUCAACAGAAAGUGGUGAGUAAUGUAAAAAAUUGACAAAUACUAUCUAUCCAUCAAGAAAGCAAUAACUAAAAAAGUCGAUCAGACAAAAACCCAAAACAUGAAGACUAGAAAAUGAAGCAUACCCAAAUUAAAUCAAACCAACAGCAGGUCACCAAUCUUUCUCCAAUUGCAUAAAAAAAUGAACUAAGAGAGAGAGGAUUGCAUGCACGGUAGGAAUAGAUCUAGAUGUCUUUUAACAUAUUAUGGGGACAUAAAUAUAAUUUUGAUCAUCCACUUGAAAAUGCUAGAGUAUGAAUGUCUGAGAAAAGAAAAUGAACAACCAACCUCAAAGAAGGAAAAUCAGAUAUGGAGUUUUUAUUGUAAAUUUCAGCUUCUUAAUUAUGAGUUUUUAGGCUCCGUCCUCAGAAAGGAUUCCAAAUCAUACUAUUCGAGUCUAAAGCUACUAAUCACAAACUAACGGCUAAGGAGCGGGUUGAAUAGAAUGGUGGGACAAGAAAAAGGGAUUAUAGGGAGAAAAAAUAUACAGAUAUUGUACUAUUCAGAAAAUUUUAACCUCUUGUGCAUUAAAUCAUAUUACAAUCAUACAUACUAUAAAUGAUGAGACCAAAUUGUUGGUUGAAAACUCAAUUAUGGAGAGUAUUACAGCGGAUCUAUAAUAAAAUGACUUCCUUUCUUGAUCUCUUCACAAUCAAAGAUCGAUUUUUAUACAACAAGAACAAAUCCUUGUAUCUUCACAAAUCUGCAAGAGGAUAAUGCAUUUGAUCGUGAUAUUAUGGAUUAAAAUUGGUUUAGAUAUAAAUAAUGUAAAUUUGUGGGAUUUGAAAACAUUUUUUUUUAUUUUCCAAUCAUGUGAUUCCAAUUUCUGCCUAAAGAUGAAAUAGAAGAAAUUUGGGGAUUUUGGUGAUAAUAGGGGGUGAAUUAAAUAGGCUUGUUUGAUGGAGAGAUAUAAGCACAAGGUCCAAAAAUAUAUAUAUAUAUAUAUAAAAAAAAAAAAUGGCCCAAAUCCGACAAACUAUCUUCUCUAGUCAUCCAUCCAGCUCAGGCUUCCUGGCGACUGCAAGUCUACUUCAAUAGCAAGUUCUAACCUAUAAAUUCCAACUGAGCUAGCACGGCGAUGGAACAAUCUCGUCGAGUAUUGGCUCUAUCCCUAAUCACAUAAAUGAAAAGAAAAAGUAGGACUAGAUGAAUUGAACUAGUCAAAUUGGCUCGUUUUGAAGGUGUGAAAACAAAAUUUUAGUUAUUUGAAACGCGAUCUUAUUCUUUAUUCAUUAGUCUUGUUCACAUUUUUUACUUUGAAUUUGAAUUUUUUAUUUAUAUCUGAUUCAAUCCAACUCUAAUUGAAAUUUUUGGCUCGUUUUUAUUUUUAAUGAUAGAUGCAAACAUGAAAUCAUGCAUUAAAACACUAGAACAUCUAUGAUAAUGAUGCAAGGUAUGGGAGUAUAUCUUUUCCUCUAUUGGACCUCAUAAUAGUUGAUAUAAAUGUGAUCUAUCCUAUUAUCUCUCUCACUAAUAAUAAAACUCAUAAAUCAAUCCAACUAAUGACCAAGUAAUUAAAAAUAAUAACAAUCAUUCAAGAAAUCAUAUGUAUUGAGGGUCAAAAUAUUGAAAUAAUAUUAAAAUUUCAUAAUAAGUGUUCAUCUACAUAUUGUUAAAUGAAAGUCUAGCCUAACAUUACAAAAUUCCAAAAAAUCAUCUUUGAUUUAUGGAACAUCACUUAGAUUUUUUAUUAAUGGCGGAGAACACGAAACAUCUUGAAAUCGUGAAUCUCUUCAAUAGUUUCUUGUUAAUUUCCAAUUGCGCCUUCCCUUCUUUACACAAAAACCAAUGUUAGAUCUUCAAUUAAUUGAAAUCUUGUAUUUUGCCUCUUGAUUUGUCCAAAAAGCAUGACGAAUUGCCUUUCUUUUCUUGUAAAAUUGGAUGAAUUAGUAUAAGCAUCGAAAUUAGGUUGAAAUUCAUGUUGAAAUUGGUUUUCGAAAGGUAGUAGACUGUAAAUAUAAAACUACUUCGUCUAGUCCAAAUUGAACCAUAACUAAGCAUUGGCAUGCUCCUUGUGCAAGCAUGGCUUAUACGUUUUUGCUCCAAUAUCUACCACAACAUGCCUCAUGAGUAAGGAUAGUGCGUAUGCACCACUUGCAAGUUUGGAUUUUUGGUUUUAGUCCUAAGUUUUGAUCCGUUGUUCAGGUUGAGUCUUUCUUUGUGCAAUUUUCAUCACUUGACUUUUAAUUCCAUCCAAUUGAUUCUAUGUAGCCUCCAAUCAUCGUUUUUCAGUCCGACCCAACUAUUAGACAUUUGCACUUAAGUCUUCAAACUUGGAUUUAUUCAUUUUUCACCUUUUUUCAUUCAUUUCUUCUAAUUUUAUUUUCAAUCAUUGUAUCACCUAACAAGACAAAAUAUAUAAGAGAUUAAGCUAUAAAUCAUAAAAAAUUAAUCCCAAAUAUUCAUAUUUAUUGGUAUAAAUAAGUGUGAAAAUUACACUUAUCAAACACCCACAAAACUGAACAUUUAUUUAUCCUCAAACAAAACUAUAACUUAUCUCAACAAACAAGCAGGCAACAAAUUUCUUAUCGUAUAACCUGCCUUGUAUUUUAGAAUUGAAACUAUUGUAUUAAAUUAUAAACAAUUUCAAAAUCAUAAUACAGAAAUCAAUUUCUACUUAUUCAAUUUACAAAAGAUGUGUGUGUGUGUGUGUGUGUGUGGAGAAUAAGUCAAACGCCAUAAAUUCAUAAGUUGUAUCAAUUAUCGAUCCCCAAUGGUCAAAUAUCGCAUUUCUUCAUUCGUAAGAUACACAUAUCCCAAACUUUUCUUUUAAAUGUUUUCCUUAGAUGUGAUCUGAAGUUAAAUUUUCAUAAUGAUCGUCAUCCUUUCUAGUUUGAAUAGGUUUCACUAAUUAUAAGUCAAUAGUUCAACAAAUGAAGAGUUUCCUAAUUUUGAUUGUUUCAACCUCUAAGACUCAACUAAGCAACUAAUCCAUUGUCUAAAGCCUACUUCUCUUAAGUAAGCAUUUAGGGCUUAAUCAAUGCAUUUAGUUCGUCUUCUGUUUCAUGCACCAGCUUUUUUAAACUUUCUAUGCAUAUUCUAUUUCAUACACUAGCUUUAUCCCUUUUUGAGUUUUCUUUUUGGGAUUGUCAGAAGGCAUCAUUGUUAGUAUAUUUAUAUGUUAACUACACUCAUGAAUCAUAGAAGAUUUUUCUCUUUCGAAUGCAAUGGUUAAUGCAAUACUCUUUAUAAAACACUUAUUCUUGAAAAUCGGCUUCUAACUUAAGAUUCUCGCCUGAGAAUUUAUAAAUUUAUAAACUGUGAUUUUUUAUUUUUUAUUUUUCUUGACAAAUAAAUAAAGGGUCAACAUAAAUAAAUAUUUUAGAAUAAUUAAUUAAAGAAAUAGACUAAUAAAUAAAUUUACUAUGCCAAGAAAUAUGGAAGGGAUGCCAUUCCUCCUAAAUAUUGUGAAGGAGACACAUUUAGCACUUGAAAGAUGAGGGUUGGUGUCUAACAAUUUUAUGUGAAAUUUCCUCUUGAAAAGUUUGCACAAAAUUUCAUUUGAAGUACUGUGAGCUGGAGAAUAUGCUCUUCAAAAUUAUUUUCCAAGUUUGUGAACCAAUAUAUGAUCUUGUUGUUUAUAUACCAUGAUUUUAAAUGAAAAAAAAUCAUUAGCAUUGCGAAUGAGAAAAUUCAUGGGGAUUUCAGUUAAGAUCCAAUUGUUCAUGAAGUAAAUCUCUUUUGAUUUGCAAUGUUUAAGCCAUUCGUCGAUUGUUGAUAUCAUUCUCUUUCUAUGCUAACUAAAUCUUUACAUGGUUUGACAUGGGUUAUAGAGAAUUUCUGCUCCUACCAUAAGUGAAUACGGCUUCCAAGUGUUUUCCAUUACUAAAUGCUUAGUUCUUAUCGAUUUCUCGCUUUUAUCAUUCUUGUCAUAUACCAUCUAUUAUGCCUCAUUCUUUGAAGAAAAUAGUAAGCUUACAAAUGCUAGUCAAUCUUGGAGGUAUGCACUGUACGGUUUGUUAUUGACCAAUAUUUGUUGUCUCGCCCAAUAACAUAGAAGUCACAACAACAUCAUCCAUCUGUGUCCUAUGGCAUAGUCUACUAUUUAUAGGGGAUAUGUCAAAACCCUAGAAGUAACCUAAAAGUUGAAAACUAGGUCAAAAUAUGCGUGAAAUCAACAAAAGGAGAAUAUCUCACACACCACAGUCGCUCGAGCAAGAGCUCGACGACAAGCGAGCGCAACUCCCUGCUUCAAAAGUUCAACCGUCCAAUGUUGAAAAUUCACCUUUUUCCACUUGGACCCUAUUUUGACAUCUUCAAGCCCAAUACUCCAAAUCAUGCAACCCUAAACCGAAUUUGGGUCACAAACUCCACCUUCACGUAAAUUUUGGUGCAACUAACAAAGCUCCAAAAUUUUUCUACCUGAAAAAUAAGUCCGACCACAACAAAAAUAACAUAACUCCAACCAGAACAAAACUUCUUCACCCCACGAAAAAUACUCUUCCCCUUCCAUAGUAUCCACAAAUGAUACCCAAACUCAAAUACUAGGUUUCCAAAAUUUUCACAAGGAAUUCAAAAUUUAUCAAACAAGGUCAAAGCACACCUAAGGCAGAAUCAACUCCAAAUGCUUUAAUUCAAGGCCUCUUACUAGUCUCAACACCUUCAAAACUAUAAAAAACACUCAACCAGAUCAGCAUCCCCUUACCUAUCCUCAAUAGGUCUUUCCCAGCAAUUGAACACGAUGGCACCGCAGACAAUGGUGGCAAAGAAAAAUUACUCAUAUCCUCUAAACUCAACCGAGUAGUGUUCUUCAAUUAUAACCCAGAGCCAACUCCCAGAGAUACUAUGCCAAACUGUAUAUCCACUACAGUACUAAACCUAUGCUAAUGAUUCUUCACCAAUUCUGUGCGACCUUGCAAUUGUAUAACCAGGACCUUCUCCUCCCUUCUAAUACAACAUCAAACCCUUCCGGACCUUCAAGACUUCACCUACUCCAAUGAACUCAUAACCCUUUGAAUUAAGGGUACUCAACAAGAUAAGAUUCUUCUUCAAAUCUGGAACAUGUUGAACCUGGCCAAGUAUUUUGAUUGUCCCAUCUAUCAACUUCAAUCUGACCCUACCAAUAUUAGCUACCCAACAAUGUUCGUUGUUUUUCAUGACAACGAAACCUUGCGUUACGAUUUCAUAUGCUUCAAACAAAAAUCAAUUAGGGUACAUAUGGAACGCACACGCUGUAUCCAAAAUUCAUUCCUCAUUAGGCUGGGAUUUUACAUCAAAAAUAGACAACACAUCUCCCCUACCCAAAUAGUCCUCCACUACGUUGGUCUCGUCUAAAAUAUCUGAUUGCCUUCCAUGACUUAUAGACGAAUUACUCUUAUUCUACAACUUCUCGCAAUCCCUCUUAUCGUAUCAUUUCUUCUUGCAAUAAAAACAAACCUAAUUGCUAAAACUUGACCUUGACUUAUCCCUUCGCCAAUCACCAUGAGUCACCAAACUUUCUCCAUCUUUAAACUUGGAUCCAACCAGAAGCAUCGUCUUCUUCUUUGAGAACAAGGCAUCAUACAUGUCAAUGAUGAGAGUAUCUUGACCAUACAAAGUUGUGUCCCUAAAUAAAGUAAACGAAGCGAACAGCAAACACAAUAAGAUUAAGACCUAAUCUUCUUCAUCAUACUUUACUUCUAAUAUCUCCAAAUCAGCAACAAUCUCCUUGAACACAACCAGGUGAUCUUCCAAAGAUUUGCCUUCUUCCAUGGGAUGAAAAUACAAUAUCUACUUCAAAUACAAUUUACUCGUCAGACUUGUAGUCAUGCAAAAUUGCUCCAGCUUCAACCACAAUGCAGCUACUAUCUUCUCAUUUAAAACAUCCUAAAAAAUAUUGUUAGAGAGUUGAAGAUGAAUCUGUGAAAGUGUCUUUCGAUCCUUCCAUUGUGUUUCUCCUCUAUUGUCCAAGUUGUGAGCAUUUUGUUAAAUCUCAACGACGCAUCAUCCAAAUCAAUCUGCACCAAUACAACUUGUAUCUUCACUAGCCACAAUGAAUAUGUUGUAUUGCAAUCCAAAAGUAGAAUUUCAUACUUCAUGGCUAUCAUCAAUAAUAAAAACCUCAAACAAAAUCACAAUCUUGCUCUGAUACCACUUGUUACAAAACAUGGAGGUUAUAUAACACAAUAUGAAGUAUUGAUCAUACAAGCAAGAAUAAGAUUAAAGUAAGAAGAGAGAUUGGCAAAAGACCCAAGAGAAAAAUAUUAUUAGAACAAUCUCAACCAUUCUACUAAAUUGAAUAAAGAGUUUACUAUUUGCAAGGGACAUGUCAAAAACAUAGAAGUAAUCUAAAAAAUGGAAAUUAGGUCAAAAUACUCGUGAAAUCGAUAAAAGAAAAAAAUCUUAUGCGGUACAGUUGCUUGAGCUCCAUCUAGCAUCAAGCGAUUGACUGCCCUGUUGCUUGAGCGAGAGCUCGACGAUAGGCUGGCGACAACUCCCUGCUCCAAAAGUUCACCUACCAUUCGAGCAAUAGGCUAGCGACCACCAUCCAACGCCAAAAAUUUGGCUUUUCCACUUGGAUCUAUUUUAACAUCUUCGAGCCGAAUACUCUAAAUCACGCAACCCUAUAUCGAAUUUGCGUCACAAACCCAACAAGUUUCAAUCUAUACAAUCUUGUAGAGUUACUAUAAUUAAUGUAUCCAAUGUACUAGCAAAUGGAAGGACAAGUAAAUUCACUGCCAUUUGGUCCAAUAAAUCUUCAAAUAUCAAUAUUAUAUUAGACCUGCAUAAUGCCAGUGGUAGGCCUAAAAAGGGUAAAGAAAAAACCGAGGGAAUCUUUUGUUCCUUUUUUGUCUAUACAAUCCAAAGUUAUCACUUCCUUUCUAUUUUAUAUAUUAAUUCCUAGCUUCUUGUAUUUUUCUUUCAAAAUUUGUAUCUUUGUAGUCUCAGGAAAAGGAAUGGAAUGUCAACAUGAAACUUCAUCAAUUAGAGUUUUGAAUUUUCUACUUUAUAUUAUGGCCAUGUUCGAACUACAUUUUUUCAAAAAAAAAUACAUUCUUAAACAGUGAUUUGACAUUAUUUCAACCACACAUUUUUCAAUGAAAUAAUUUACAUGCAAAUCCAAAACUUUUCUUUAUUUUUUAACCACACAUUUCCCAUCAAUACACUAUCAAAAAUGCAUUUUAAGGAAAAUAAUGUGACUCAAGCAAGGGCUAUAUCUACAAUCUAAUAAGUUUUAUCACUUUGUUAAUUUUCAGAUUUAAAUGUAUCAUUGUUUUGAUGGAUGUAUUCUCCAAACAAGUUGCAAGAGUUCAAGAAAAUUUCUUUAAAGGACUAGAAUAAAACUAUUCUAAUUUAGUUUUCUUAUUACCUUUUUUCAAGCAUAUAUUGCUGUUAGUAUUUGAUGUUAGAUGGAACAUAUAUAUAUAUAUAUAGACACACGUACAUUACAAUCAAAAAAUGCUAUUGAAAAUGAUACACUCUAUUCAUUAAAUGCUAUAAAUAUUAAACUAUUAAGAUGGAACAAGAAUGCUAUUGAAGAUAUAACCAUAAUGAUUAAAGAAUGUUAUUAAAGCUAAAAUAUUAACAAGAACGAAAGCUAUCAAAUUAAAAAAGAUUGCACAAAAAGAAUGCUAUGUAAAAGUUUUUUAUAUCACUUUCUAAUAGCAUUAAAAAAACCUUAUAAUAGAAGUAUGACUUUUAAUACCACCUACAACGGCAUUUCGAAAAAUGCUAUAAAACAUGAUAGAUAGCAUUUUUCAUAAGCUAUAGAUGAGUUGAUAUGUUGUAGUGCCUGUGAUGUGGAUAACGUCCACUAAAAUAUUCUCCUGAAUACCUUCAAAUAACAUGUGAUCUAUGCUUUUAUUGAAGGUAUUUACAUGUUGUUUGAAGUAGGAAAUAAUAUUCAAUCCUUUAUGACAUACCAAAGUUUUAAUUCAUGAUCUUCCAUAGAAUUAAGUUCCUAGCCAUCAUGGUUUCUCAAGUAGCUUCCUCAAAUAUCUAAUGGGUUUCAUAAAUCCAUUCACCUUUUUUGAAUCUCUUCCAUUGCAACAACCAUUAAACCCUUCUCCAUCAAAGCAAAAUCUACACUCUACAAUAACGCCUCAAUCUCAAUCCGAAACUUGACAAUAUCCAUUUUCUUGAUAACAGUCCCAAUACACAUGAAACUAAUUAUCACCUUUUUCCCUCUUAAAUCAUCUCACACUUCUUAAAAUUGAGUCAAGCCAUCUUCCCAUUAUCGAUGAAAGCACAGUGAUUGCCAUAGCCAGAGUGAUAAGUGCGUUUUACACACUUAUCUUGAUCACAAAACAUGAAUAAUUAUUGAUAAAUAUGUGAAAUACAUCUUUGUUCUAUAUAAGUUAUGUUUUUCAUGACAACAUCGAUAAAUAUGAUGAAAUUGAGGAAAAAUAAGUGAAAAUGACUAAAAUGGAAGAAAAGAAAAGUUUAAGGACCAAAGUUCAAAUAGCCAAAAGAUGACCUGGAAGACAAAACAAAGAUGUGAAAGAUUUUAAGGCCAAUUUAUAGAGAACAUGAAAUAUUGGAAGAAGAAGAAAUGACAAAAUAGGUCACGAAACGAGAAAACGGAGUUCGAGGACUAAAAUACAAUUUUUGGAAGUCUGUCACUACUAUGCAGUCACAUAGUAUGAAUUUCCAUGCGGUCGCAUGGCCUAUUGCAUAAACUUUCAAGGUUGAUUUCUAUUGAACUACACUAUAGCAUUUAUUUGUACUAGCUAUAGUAUAGUUCAUUUCUGGAGGGAAAAUCUCGUUUCCCUUUUUAUUGAAAUUCUUAUGGAAACCAAUCUUGGGAAAUCUUUUAAAAUCUAAGGUCAUCCAUAAGUGGGUAACACGCAUUAUAACACAUUUGGAAGGGGUUUGAGAGAAAACAAGGAGGCAAGAAACACGAAGGUCAACCUGAAGACACAAAGAUUCAAUUUAAGAAUUUAUUGUGUGAUGUCGUUUCUUCAAUAUUCUUUUUGUUUUCUUAUUUUCACCAUGCUUGACUAGAUUUAUAAGUUCUAUGAGAAUGGUAAACCAUGUGAUAUGACUUUUUAAUCUCUAGUUUUUACAUUCUUGACAUUAAAACACGUUUCUAAAAUUUGAAUGGUUUAUAUAAAUUUAUUUUCUCCACAAUUAUUAUGCACGUGAUUGUUUGAAUUUUAUUGCUUGUUUCAUGCAUUUGAAAGAAGGGGAAUAGGCUUGACAUCAUAUAAAUCAUUGUAGGAUCCAAUAUGGGAUAGAAAUAUACCACUAUGCUCUAUCUUUAAAUGUUCAUAAAAAUUCAUGCAUUCUUGUGUAUUCUCAUCCAUUAUAAAAAUAUAGUUGGGUCAUAUAUGAGAAUAGGUCCAACAUUACUCUAGAGAGAUUGUUGAAUAAAUAGGAGUAUUGAUUCGUCGAAAUUCAACCGUGCUGUUAAAGUGUAAAACUAAGUUUAAAAGGGAUUAUUGUAUAGGGAUUCACAAUCCUAAUACGUUUAUGAUUCAUUAGAACACUUCAACUUGCAUUUAUCUAGUUAAGUCACUUAUAAUUGCACACGUAAUUUAGUUUAGUUAUAAUUUGCAUCACAACAAACAUUCUCAUUUUUAUUGUUUCAGUUAAGGUCAUGGUCAUAGAAAAUUGAACUAAAUCAAUCCUUGUAAGACGAUAUUCGGAAUCAAAAUCCACUUUAUUAAUUGUUAACGAACUGUACGCUUUCGGUGAUGUUACAUCGAAAUAUAUUUUCGUGAACAAGUUUUUUGCACCGUUACCAAAGAUUGAGUUUUAGUUUGAUUUUCUUUACUUUGACACUAAUUUGAAAUUUUUAUUUUAUUUUUUUUAUUUUAUUUAUUUUUUCUACUCAAGUUUAUCUAAGCGCUACUAUUGCACUUCCUUCAGGUCUUGUGUGUGAAGGUCGCUUGACAUUGAAUUGAUUCCUGGUGAUCCAAAAAUUGAAUGCACCUUUCAUAUUAGGCAAAGGGAGACAAGAGCGGCAUAGUAAAAAUAGCAAAAAUAGCAAGUACCAAUAACUAAUCAACAAAUUGAGCUAGUGAUUAAUCCUACAAAUCCAGUAGAUCUAGAGGUAGAAGAUGAAGGAAAUAUCAUACUUGGGGAACUUUAUAGCACCAGUAGUUGUCAUCAGUUCUACGAAAUGGCUAAUGAGAAUCCACACACACAUAUAUCUCGAUUCUAGAAUAUAUGUUAAUAGUUUAGGUAUGAAGAAAUUUCAGACGAUGCUAUUAGGUUAAGGUUGUUUCCACAUACUCUACGGGAUAAAACACUCGAAUGGCUGGAUUCACUUCUCAUUGUGAGCAUAACUACUUGGAAUGAGCUAGCUCACAAAUUCUAUACGAAAUUCUUCUUACCAUCUAGGAAAGCAAGACUAAGGUAUGACAUAUCGAUAUUCAGUUAGGGUGAAUCUGAAUCAUUUGAUGAGGUUUGAAAUAGGUUCCAGAACAUGCUAUGGAAUCCAAUUUUUCUAUACAAGAUUACUUCCGUCUUUCGAAGGAUUGGUGGAUUCAUCAUAUAAUAGUUCCAUAUCCACGAGAACGGUCGAUGAAGUAUUGGAAUUGUUAGAGAGAAUAGCUACUACUUUAGCCAUGUGGUCUUCUGAGCGAGUGGUUUAGAAGUAAUCGCCAGGGGUUUACAAAGUAGACACUUACUCAACCUUGCUAAAAUAAAUUCCCUAUUUCAUAAGAUAGAAAACAUUUCACAUUCAGCAAAUGUAAUACAAGCACGAAAACCAAGUUUUGAAGGAUGUGGAGUGGAUCAUAGCAAAGCAGAAUGCCCAAUUCUGUCACAGAGAAUGAAAAAGAUAGAGUACACGCAAUGGGGUUAGCGUCAACAAAACGAUCCAAAUUUAAACACUUACAAAACCGAUUGGAGAGAGCGUCAAAAUUUCUCGUGGGAUGGUAACCAAAACCAAUUUCAAAAUCAGAAUAGACUCCAGGGACAAUUUCAACAAGAAAGGAAAAUUUAGUUGGAUGAGAUAUUUGUGAAGUUCCUAGAAAAAGCCAAUAAAUACAUGGAAGCAAAUAACCAACUUAUGAGGAAGACUAAAACAACUCUCCAAAAUCAAGGUACUGCAAUAAAAAAUCUGGAGAUGCAUGUGGGACAGAUGGUACUUUCUAUGAUGGGAAAGACACCAAGUAUUUUGUCAAGAAAUAGUGAAGUGAAUCCCAUGGAGCAUGUUCAAACAAUUACUACAAGUAGAGUUCAAUUACCAAGAACACAUAUGAAAAGUUCGGGUGCAAUUGAAGAAAUGAUACCUUCUUUUGAUGAGGAGCAGACUUACCAAACUAGAGAGAGAUCACCAAAGAGGGUUCAGAUACAUCACGGGCUAAAGCAACUUCUCCUAUCAAUCCAUACGAGCCCCUAAUUCUAUUCCCUUAGAGAUUAAGAAGCAUAAAAUGGAUCAACGGUACAUAAAAUUUUUGGAGAUCUUCAAGAAACUUCACAUAAACAUUCCACUGGCUAAGUCAAUUACCUAGAUGCCCAACUAGCUAAAUUCUUGAAGGAUAUCAUAUCCAACAAACAGAAGUCAGAGGAGCACGAAAUGGCAAUGUUGACAAAGGUGGGAUCAAUUACAUAAUGCUCGAAAGAGAUAGGAAAAGAGUCAGAUUCGGACUUGGAGAAAGAUGAAGCAGUCUUUGACGAAUCAAUUUUUACCGGCAGAUUAUGAAGAGAUUUUAUAUCGUAUGUACUUGGGAUGCACACAGGGCAAUCAUACAGUAUCAGAUUAUACCAAUGAAUUUAUGUGAUUAGCGGAGUGGAAUAAUCUGUUAGAAUCUGAAAAUCAAAGGGUAGCCAAGUAUAUCGGUAGUUUGAAGGUGGCUAUUCAAGAUAGACUUGGGUUACAAAAUAUUUGGACAUUGCGGGAAGCCAUUAACAUGUCGAUGAGAGCAGAGAUAAUCGAAUAUGAUAAGAGGAUGAUUUCAUAUAAGAGGCCCUUACCUGUCGUUACCCAGUCAAUCCUAAUAGAAGUAAGGUUGACAAUAGAGGUCGGUUUGGAAAUAGAGUUCAGACUCGAGGUACACCUCAAAAUGCAAAUUCGUAUGCUAACCCCAUCAAAGAAAUUUGUUAUAGAUUCCAAAAGCCUAGAAUCAUUCCAAUAACUGUCCUGAGAUGAGGUAAUUGAUGAGGAGAAAAAUAUUGAAAUGGAAGAUGAGUAUGCAGAAGUAGAGUUUGCUGCAGAGGAAUGAGUAGAAAGGCUCACUUAGUACUGCAGCGAAUCUUUUUGUCGCCUAAGGAGGAGAGACAGCGUUAUUUCACUUUCUGUUCGCUUUGUUCUAUCAAGAAUAAAGUGCGUGAAGCGAUUGUGGACAAUGAAAGUUGUGAGAACUUUGUAUCGAAGAGGUUGAUAAAUGUGCUGAAACUACCAAGGGAGAACCAUCGUAAACUUUAUUCACUUGGUUAGAUGAAGAGAGGUCCUUCUAUUCAAGUUGUUAAAACUUGCAAAGUACCUAUUUCAAUUGAUAAGCACUAUAAGGAUGAAGUUAUGUGUAAUGUCAUAAAAAUAGAUGUUUGUCAUAUCCUAUUAGAUUGUCCAUGGCUGUUUGAUGUGGAUUCGACUGUCAAAGGACGUGAUAAUUUGAUACUCUUUUCAUGGGACAGUUAUAAGAUCUCUAUGGUUCCUCUCAAACAGGUGGAGAAGUCUACUCAACAAUGAACAAGGAGUUUCUUUACCCAUACAAGUAAUGAGACGGAGAUUACAGAGUUUAUACUACAGAGUUUGUAAGAGAAUCUAAUUGCUUUUGUCCAGUUGUCAUUGAGGGGCUUUUUACAACAAAUAAGGAAUAUGAGGGUAUUCUAUCUGAGGUAUAAGAAAUAUUGACAGAAUUUGAAGACUUGGCUUCUCAUGAAUUGCUGAAUGAAUUACCUCCUAUGAGGAACUUUCAGGACCAGGUACUGGGGCUAGCUUUCCAAAUUUACCUCAUUACCAAAGGAGAAUGAGAUUAUAGGAAAGCAAAAUGAGGAAUGGUUGGGGAAAGGGUAUAAGUCUGUGUACAGUACCCGUCCUUCUAGUGCCAAAGAAGGAUGAAAAGUGGCAUGUCUGUGUUGACAGUCGUGCCAUCAACAAGAUAACAAUAAAGUACAGGUUUUCUAUUCCACGGUUGGAGGACAUGUGAGAUAUGCUUGGAGGUUCUAAGGUCUUUUCAAAACUAGAUCUUCGCAGUGGUUAUCACUAGAUUCAUAUUAAACCUGGGGAUGAAUGGAAGACUGCAUUCAAGAGUAAUGAUGGACUUUAUUAAUAGUUAGUGAUGACAUUCAAACUUUUAAAUGUUCCAAGUACCUUCAUGAAGGUGAUGAACCAAGUUCUUCAUCCUUUUAUUGGGUCUUUUGUUGUGGUUUAUUUCUACGAUAUCCUUAUUUACAGCAAGUUUAAAGAAGAUCGCCUAGUUCACUUGAAGCAAGUCCUAGAGGUUUUGAAGGAAAAUCAGUUGUACAUCAACUUUAAGAAUUACACUUUCUAUAUACGUAAGCUAUUGUUUUUAAGCUUCGUAGUUGGUGAAAAUGGUAUACAUGUAGAUGAAAAGAAGACAAAAGUAAUUCGAGGUUGGCCAACAACAAAGUCAGUUUUUAAAGUGAGGAGUUUUCAUGGUUUAGCAGUUUUCUACAGUCGAUUUAUCAAGCAUUUUAGAACUAUUAUAGCACCUCUCACAGAAUUUUUGAAGAAAGGAAGAUUCAGUUGGGGAUAUGAACAAUAUAAGAGCUUCGCCUUCACCAAAGAAAAGUUGUACACAACUCUAGUAUUAGCUUUGUCAAACUUCGAGAAAAUCUUUGAGGUGGAGUGUAAUGCUAGUGGUAUAGGUAUUGGGUUGUCCUUUUUUAAAGACAAGAGAUCCAUGGUUUUCUUUUCAAAAAAUUUAAGUGAUGCUAGGCAGAAGUGGAGUACCUAUGGGUAAGAAUUAUAUGCAGUUGUAAGAGCUUUGAAACAAUGGGAACACUACCUUGUACAUAAUGAGUUUGUGUUGUUCACUAAUCACCAAGCCUUGAAAUUCAUUCAUAGUCGGAAACAUAUCAACUUGAUGCAUGCUUGGUGGGUGACUUUUUUCUAGAAAUUUCCUUUUGUAAUUAAACAUAAAUCUGGAAGUAAAAAUAGAGUUGUAGAUGCACUGAGUCGGAGAGCUUCCUUAUUGAUCAGAUUAUCACAGGAAAUUGGUGAGUUCGGCAUGAAAGAACUGUAUGCAGAUGAUCUUGACUUUGAGGAGAUUUGGAGUAAAUGUGUGAAUCGGGGAUCAAUGAUGGAUUUUUAUAUUAGUGAUGGUAUUUGUUCAAAAGCAACCAGCUUUGUAUUCAUUUUUCAUCUCUACGUGAAAAAUUUAUUUGAGAUCUGUAUGGUGAAGGUAACACUUGGGGUGUGACAAACAAUAGCUAGUUUAGAGGCUAGGUAUUAUUGGUCACAAUUGAAACGAGGUGUUGGAGUUAUACUUGUCAGGUAUCAAAGGGUCAAGUGUACAAUAUUGGGUUGUGCAUGCCACUUCCUGUCCCUCGGGCAUAUGGCAAGAUUUGAGUAUGGAUUUUAUCGUCGUAGUUAAUGGGGCGUAAAUUCUGUUUUUGUGGUGGUUGACAGAUUCUCCAAAAUAACACACUUCAUAGCUUGUGGAAAGACUUUAGAUGCAUCAAGUAUUACUAAACUGUUUUUCAGAGAUAUAAAGAUUGCAUGGAGUUCUGAAGUCUAUCACAUCGUAUCAGGGUACAAAGUUUUUGGGGCACUUUUGGAUUACCUUUUGGAAGUUGUUUGGAACCACUUUCAAUCGAAACAGCAUUGCCCAUCCCCAAAAUGAUGGACAGACUAAAGUUACUAACCAUACCCUUGAAAAUAUAGUUCGAAGUGUUUGUGGAGAUAAGCCUAAACAAUGGGAUCUUGCACUACCUCAGGUGGAGUUUGAGUACAACAGCGCAGUUCAUGCUGCUAUAGGCAGGUUCUCAUUUGCUAUUGUGUAUACAAAUGUUCCUUACCAUAUGGUAGAUCCGGUGAAGUUGUCUAAAGGCUAUAUUAAGAGUGCUGAUGCUAAACAUCUGGCAGAGGAGGUGUUAGUGGUCCGUGAUGAAGUAAAAUAGAAAUUAAAGAAAACUAAUGCAAAGUAUAAGGCAACAACAGAUUCACAUCAACAGGAUAAAUAAUUUCAGAAAGGAGACUCAGUGAUGGUGUUUUUGAGAAAGGAGAGAUUUCCCUUUGGUACCUACAACAAGCUGAAACCAAGAAAGUAUGUGCCUUUCAAAGUGCUUAAGCAGAUUAACAACAAUACCUAUAUUAUUGAUUUACCAGCUUCUAUGAGCAAUUUUCGAACGUUCAGUGUGGCAGAUUUGUAUGAGUUCCAUAAAUAUGAUAAACCUUUAUAUCCAAAUUAUAACUAGGGGUCAAGUUCUUCAGAGGUGGAAGAGAUUGAUGUAGAACAUAUUGUUGAAUGAAUGGAAGAAGAAUCGGAUAAAAAUGGAGAAAAGGUAAUAGUAAAAAGAAAACAUUCAAAGUCCGGAUUGGGCACAUAAGACCAUUUCGAAAAGAGGACGACGCGGCAACCUCUACUCAUCCCUAUGCCAUGACAUACAAUGAAUUUCGACCAUUCGAGUUCGUUUAGGACACGAAAACUAAUAUUUAAAGUUUUAGCGCUAUUUGUCCUUUAAUUUAUUUUGGAUUCUUUUCAAUUUUAGUUUGUUUAAACUUUGUUUUCAUUAAUUUUUGUUACUUUAAACUACGUUUUAAUGUAAACCCUUAUAAAUAAGGGGUUAUUUCGUUGUCAUGAUUAUCUUUCAUUAAUAAAAUUCGUGAGUUUAAUCUCUUCAUAAUAUGGUGGAUUCCAACUUUUGUGUUCUUAAGGUUUUUGCUUAAAUUCCUUGUUUCAUGCGUCAAUUUUCUUUUACAGGAGCACAUUAGAGGCAUGGAAGAUAUAAAAAAAAAAAAAAAAAAAAAAUUCCAGCAUAUCUUCAUCAGUGAUUUUUUCUCCAUACAAGGCCAAUUUUUAACAUUUUCUGUACAAUUCAAAAUUGUACUCAUUAACGGUUUUAAAGUCUUGCAAAUGAAAGUGCAUCCACUCAUAGCGGGUUCUGGGCAAGACUGUAGUCCUCUAACGAUCAAAUCUCUCAGUCAAUUUUUUACAAAGAACAUGUGAAUCUUUCCAAGUGAGAUAUUUGUUUUUCAAUUAUACAAAGAUGAUGACGAAAGAAGAUGAGUACUUUUACACGAUCCUAAUGAAUUUUUGUGUUUUUCUUUUAUUGUCUCUCCCAGACCAUUUAAGAUGAGGUAGAUAUCAACAUCAAGUAUCCAUGACAAAUAGUUCUUGUCAGAUAUGUUAAAUGCGGCAAACUUAAGUUUUGUGAUAUUUGUUAUUUGAUUUACUACACAAUAACGCAAAAGAAAAAUACGAUUAGAUUCAAAGAAUAUGAUUAAAUAUUAUAUAUUAAUAUCCGCAUGACAUAAAUCGUAUAUUUUCCUUCGGGGAUAAAUACAAAUUUAUAAAUUACAUAUUAUAGAUUUUUCGAAGCAUGUGCUACUUCGAGAGUACGUUAUAUUUUAUUAUCGCUUUUUCAAGAGUAAAAUACUAAUAUUCUUCUGGAAUAAUGAAAUUAUAGAGUCGUGCUCUUCAGAAGUAAUAACAUAUUAUUAUUUGAAAUAAUAAAUUGUAUAAAAAUGUACCCUUCAAGAGUAAAAACAUAAUUUUUAAUUAUGCUCUUCGAGAGUAAGUAAUAUCUAAUUAAAAUAUAUUUAAAUAAUAUUGUGCUACUUUAAUAACAACAACAUGAUAAAUUAUCAAUUUAAAAUUUAUGAAAGAACAUAUACAGUAUUUAAUCAAGUUAAUACACAAAAAACGUUCAAUAAUCAUCAUAAACGUAUAUAUUUUGUAAACAUAAAGAAAAAAAUUAAAGCAAAGAAUAUGUGAAUUAACUUGAGUUCAUUAACGUUAAUUGAAUUGAAAAAUUAGAUAUAUUAACUCGAAUUAACUUGUUUUUAUCGUAGAUUAAUGCAAACAAACAUACAAACAUGCAUGAGUAAAUAAAAGUAUAAUCGUCAUUCAUAUAAUAUGGUAAUCGUUAGCAUGGAUAUGUAUACAUGAAUGGACUAACUUCAUCAGGAAAUUGAAUACGGAUGUGAUUUGAUAAUUCUCAAAUUUACGCAUAUGGAUAUGAUUAAAAAAAUUAAUGUAAAUUGUGUUGGUAAGAAAAAUUAACGUAAAUAAUGUUUAGUAAAAUCGACAGAUAACGUGUUAUGUAUAUAUAAAAAAAAUAUACAUGUCAUCAAAUUGAUUUUGGUACACAUAAUUAUGCUUAAAAAAUUCACUUGUCACCAAAUUGAUUUUGGUGCGCGGGAUUAUGCUUUUAAAAAAUUACUAUCUUCACUAGACUUUUAAAGAAUUAAAUUUUCGUGCUGAUAACAUGUUAUGAAAAGAGAAAAAAGAGGAGAUAAUAAAAGUCAAUAAACUUGUACCUAUUAUAAUGAGAACCAAAACCUCAUAUUUAUAGGGAAUGACUAAGAAUACAAUCAUACAAUGAUAAUGAUUUCUACGUUUGCAGGGGUACAAUUGUUAAUCACUGAUCAACUUAUAACGCUAUAAAUAUUAUUUAUUUAUUUAUCACUCAUUUUUAUCUAUUUAUCAGUUAAACUAAUUAUAAAUUCUUUCCAGACGAAGGAUAAAUAAUACUUGUAUUAUGGGAAGUUUUAUUAUUAUUAUUAUUACAACUACGUAGUUCUUUUGAUUAAAAAAAAUGUGAUUUGUGUAAAUGCCCAGUUACCCACCCCUCACAUAAGGGAUGGGGCCCAUGCACAAUAAUUGCAUGGGACCCGCCAUCCAUGUGAGGGGCGUAUAAACGCUCAAUACAUGUAGUGAAUCCCUUUUGAUUAUGUCUGUCAACCAAUCUAUAAAAUAAUAAAGGCAGCAACACGAUGCACUAAAUCUAGCCCAAAAGUCUAAUCGCCAAUGGAUUUAAGAAAAACAAUUAUGAAUUAAUUAUUCUCUCUAGUUGGACUAAUGGACAUUUAAGAUUAAACGUGACUGAUAAUAGAAUGCAUGUGUCGUUCCGAGAAGUUCUAAAAUAAUAGUAUAAUAAUAUAUUAUUUUAUUGGUUACGCGAAAUUAUAGUCAAUUAAGAAAAAUGAUUUGUCGUAAAAAUUUUGAUAUCUUAUCUUCCUUCAACUUCCUAAGCAAAUAUAAUAUUGCUCCCCACUAAUCUGCAUCAGCAUGAUCUUACUUUCACAGCUUUGAUUCUGCAGAAUUAAAAAUGUGUUUGUUGAGAUUUUUAGGUAUUUAUAGAAUAUUUUGUGUGUGUGCGCGCGCGUGUGUGAGAGAGUUCAUGGAAUGAUCCAGAAUCUUUGGUGGGGAGGUUCGAAAAAAAUAGAUGCUGUAAUAUUUAUAGAAAUGAUUUCCUAUUCUUGGUGGGUAGGAAUUAUCAUAUCCAUUGUCAUGACAGUGAUCAAACCAAUAAUUUUUUACAAUUCAAUGUUAAAUUGUGUCAAAAAUUGUAAGACCGCUGACGUCAGUGGUGGACAUAUUUUAUACUACUCACCAUGAGUAGGAAAUUAUUUCUAAAAUUUAUGUAUAAAAUCCACAAGACAAAAACUAUUUAAUAAUUUUAUUUAAAUAUAAAUUAUUAUCAAUAGGGAUUAGCAAAUAAUAAAAAAAUUAGUGACGUGAUGACAAGCAAAGUACUUACUAACAGUGUAGUAGAGUAAAAUUGUAGAAGCAUGGUCUAAGUAUUAGCAAAAAAGUAAUAUAAAAUGAAGGCUUUAAGAUGUAAAUUGUAAAAUAAAAACACUAUUCAUUAAGCGAGUAUUAACAUUAGAAAUAUAAAUAUAACCCACGGAUAAUAUCAUAAUGGAUAAUUAUAUUACCACCACAAGUUUUACUUACUGUUGGGAAUCUACUUAACAUGCACAACGAAAAAUUAAAACAGAUUUUGAUUCCCACCAAGAAUCGCCUUUGUGUUUAUAUAGAAAUUGUGAUAAGAUUGUACGUUUUUCAGAUUUGCAAACUUCUUUGCUAUUCUUUUCGUUCAGCAAUCUUGAUUCACCUCCCACUGCUGUCUAAUUGUCCAGCCUCCAAAAAUGAUCCACAUAGAGAACAAGAUUACAGCUAGCAGGGUUUUCUCCUCUUGUGCUAGCAAGAAUAAUUAUGAGAAAAACAUAUGGAUUGAAAACCCUAGCCAUUUAAUUAAAUUCGGUCCGUGAAUUAAUUAAUCCAAUUAAUUAAUUCGGGUCUAUAAAUAACCAAACCAAUUAAUUAAUUUAUCCAACGAUUGUUAAAUUAAUUAAUUGACAAAUUGCAAUCUUCCAAUUCUUUUUUGUGUGCGACCCAUCAGGUUCCCGAUCACGAUGCCUAGCGACGUGAAAUAUUAUUUUGAUCUAAUCAAAAUUGAUAAAUUAAAAUACCCUUUUAAUUUAUCAUCAAUUCACACUUGCCAUCCCAAAUUGACAUCUAGCAAUGUAUCAGGACAAUACAUGUGACGGGAAAUGUCAUGUGGUAUGACAAAACCAAACUCCUUCGUUUACCGUGAAACUAUAAUCACUUCGUCAAUAUGAUCCGAUCAAUUACGAGAUAUGGAAAUGUGUCAAUCUCGAUUAUCGAUCAUAUCUUUCACUCCACUAUGAAGUCAAUAUAAGUCGAAAACUCAUUUUCGACUUAUGAGUACACCUUGUCCAAGGAUUUCAUUAUCGACUUAAUUGAAUGAAACGCAGAUCAUAAUAUCUUACUAUCUAAGAGUGACGAAUCCUCUAUUGAUCAUUCACAACUUUCAUAUGAUUAUUGACAUACUCGAACGAUGCCGUAUUAGCAGCCCUUGGCAAAGCAACAUCCAGCAUCGUCAAAGCAUGACCGUCCUCAUAUAAGGUACUAUGACGACCUCAAGUCAAAAUGACCAAUCCCACUAUCAAACGUUAGAGAUUAAUCACUAACACUCAGAUAGUCAUCCAUUUGGAAUCUCUCGGCGGGUCUCCAAUGUUUUGUUCUAUAACAAAACAUCCACGUGUUCAUUUAAGUGUCACCACACUUUAGUUUGUGAGAUCAGCUACUUACUUCAUAAGUAAGAAAUGCCACAUGUGAUGGUCUAUCCGUAAUAACGAUAUCUGUAUCUCGUUAUUACUUAUGACCACAGACGAUUUAAGAUUCAAUCAGAUGUAAUUUAGAUCUCACAAUCACAACUCCUUGUGAUUAACAAAUUACGAAGAUUUGAAUCAACGGACUCUAUUAUUUAUUUAAUUGUCUAUUAAUUAAAUAAUAGAUCUGCCAUUAAAUUGCAUUAAUUAUAUAUCAAAAGUAUUUAUAUCGAAAGUUGAUUGGACCUAGGGCAUAAUACUUACAAACUCCCACUUGCACUAGAUACAAUCACUUAUGUAUCCAAUAUCAUAAGUUUACAUGACGAUCAUGUUUAUGCUACAACAAUUCUUUGUCAGUUGAUCUGCAAUAUUGUUAAAUGUAGGAAUUUGUUCUUCACUUUACAUCAUUUCUAUGUAUUAUCUCUCUAAUGAGAUUAUACCGCCUUAAUACAUAUUUGGAUAAUUGAUGAGACAUUAGUUCCUUCGAUUUUGCAAUGGCUCUAUUGUUAUCACAUUACAAUGCAAUGGCUCUAUUGUUAUCACAAUACAAUGUUUCUACUGACAACCAAUUAGCCAAUCUACUUACGAAACCACUAGAUGGGAUGAGGUUUGAGUCGCUUCGGACAGCUGUUGGUAUUUGUUUGCCUAUCUGAUCAUGAAUUCAUGCAUAUUCAUGCAUUUAUCAUAUCUGCACUUAUUCAUUUUAUAUCUUGUAUGUGAUAAAUGUGUGUGUGGUGCAUUUUGUUUGUUAGUUAUUUUUUUUGUUUUUAUUUUGAGUAUUAAGUUUGCAUUUGAAAUUUAAAAUAAAUAAAUAAAAAAUAAAUAAAUAAAUAAAAAUAAAUAAAUAAAUUUUGCAUGCAUCGUGUAUGACGUUAUGAUGUUUACAUUCAAGAUCAAACUCUAUUGUUCAUCAUGUGUACGAGUCUGAGGUUCCAUCGUAGUUCUCACUUUCUGUGGAGUUCUUGGUAUACGGCUCGUCAUGCAUUUUCGCACAGCACACACUGUAGUCCUGUAGGUGGGUUUUGACCACAUGGGUGAGACUUGGGAUGGUAUUCUUCUGUGAUUGGGGUUGUUUGUCCAUUUGACUUAAUCUGUGACGAGUGUAACCUAAUCAAUAUUGUCUUUCCCCAUUUUCUACAUUAUUCUUUGAACUUAUUUCUGUCUUCGGGGCCUAUUUGACUCGAACAAUUAAGCCUUAGGGGUUUCUAACCUGGUGUCCUAUGGUCGUCUGGCUUGGGAGUCACCGGCCCAAAGUUCGUUACAUGGGUCAUUUCUGUCGCCUAAUGAAAAUAGGAUUGCACCUAAAUUCUUAUAUUAUUAAAAAAUAUAUAUAAAAAUAAAAAAAUGGCAUACAGUUAGGGGGAGUAAAAUUGUGACAAUUAUAAUGUUUGAUAUAGGUCCUCGUGGAAUUGGAUUUAACUGACACUUGGUCAAUAUACACUUUUUUACAGUUGUUUUCACAUGUCCUUUCUCACUAAUUUAAGGUUUUGAGUCUAACUUGCAUGGACUACGUGCCACAUUUCACGCUGAUGUUCUAUAUAAAAUUUACUUCAUGGGAUUUUGAACUAUGUGUGGACUUAAGAUUUGUCUACAUACUCUGAAUGUCGGGUUUGUGAUUUUGUGCAUAUUAUUCAUAUCGUCUACAUAUUUGGGUACGUGCUUCAUUAUCGAUUUUUUAGUUUGUCUUUACAAAAAUAAUACAUACAACUGAAAAUAAAAAUAAAAGUUUUUGGACCUAUUUUCGUUAUUUUUCAAAAUUGUGCUACUUUUCAUAAAUUUCAAAUGUUUGGCGCUAUUUUUGACAUUUCAUUUUCGCUCGAGUCUCGCCUGGACUUCUCUCGAGCGACAAAAGCAGAAAGGAUGUCGCUCGAGUUUCGUCCCGGUCUCGCUCGAGCGACAUAUAUAUUUAAAAUGCGGCUGUUUCAAUUUUUCGAUCAUUUUAUCAUUUUUUUUUCUCCUCCUUCAAUUCUUUUCUUCUUCCAUCAAAAUUAUUCACUCCCAAUUCAUUUUUGGCCUCAAUUCGACAUCUUUAACACAAUCUUGGGUCUGAAACACUGACUUCUUGGCAAAAUCUUUAGGUAAUUCCCAACUUUCUUUGCUUUCAAUUUUUUUUGGUUUGUUUGAUUUCUUUUCUUGAUCAUUGUGUUGGUUUAUGUUAUUUUGACAUUACAUCUUGCUUGUACACAUGUUUUGCAUCAAGUAUUGCUUUCCAUUUCCCAAAUUAUAGUGCAUUCCUAUGGUUUUCUUCACAUUUUUUUUUAAGUUUUUGGUCCAUGUUCAUCAAUAUAGUUCUUGCACCUCGUUGAUUCGUUUGAUGUGUGGUUUGUUUUGAUUGUGAAGUCCAUAGCAUGUAGUUUUUAGGGAUGUGUUUGGAUUUGUGAUUGGGUCUCGUAUGUGCUUGGAAUUUGGUGCCGAAGUCACGCACGCCACGUGUUCGAUGAAAGUUCACUUUUUUAUGCUUAUUUGGUUUCUUUUGAUUUUUUUUGAUUUCCUUCUUUUCCUUCGUUUCUUUCCUACUUGUUUGAGUGUCGUUGCAUGCCAUGUGUGUUUUCAUUCAUGUUUAUGUGAUUGGAUCAUGUGUUUCCAUGUGUGCAUCUUCUCAUAUCAUGUUGCAUCGUGAUGCGUGCAUUUCACAUUAUGCUUAUUCUUUUCAUCUCUGCAUGUGUCAGAUGGCUCGUAAGCGCUCUCGUACCUCUGCAUAGCCUGCUAGUGGAGCGACAUCUUAUAGUAGAUCCCGGUUUAUUUCUGCUAUAGCUCAAGAGAUCUUCACGUCUCAGUUCUCCUUAUGCCCCGUUCUCAUGGAGCGUGAGGUAAUUCUAUCUGACCUUCCUGUUGACGUCACCGCUAUUUUUGUUUCCCAGGGUUGGGAGCCCCUUCUUGUUGGUCUUACACCGUCGCCUCCACUCCUCGUUCAAGAGUUUUAUGCUAAUAUUCAUGAGGUGGAUGGGUCGUCGUUUAGGAGUUUUCUUAAAGGUCAUUCUUUUCGAGUUACUCCGUCUGCAGUAGCUCUUGCGUUAAGUAUACCUCAGAUUCCUCAUCCAACGUAUCCCUAUCUUCUCCCUGCUUCUCUUCUGGCCGAUGUCCUUGUUCGGUCAACUCUUUUGAACACCCCGUCUACUAGGGGGCCUACGGCUAUGGCCACGGGUUCAUUACCCACUGAUUGACAGGUUUUGUUGCGCAUCUUGUGCACAAACCUGUGGCCUGUUGCUCAUACUUCUUCUUUACCGAUGGUACGGGCUCGUUUCCUAUAUGCCCUACUUCAUGGGGACUCUAUCGACCUUCCUACUUUUGUGUGCCAGCAGAUUCUAGCUUCUUUUCGUACUCCUAGGAGUCGUUUAGGGUUACCUUAUGCCUGUUUGAUUCAUCGGGUUGUCCUUUCUCUUGGUGCAUCUUUUCCUGAGGGGUCUUCUACUCGCAUAGGUCGCCCGAUAGGACAGCAGACCAUUCACUAGAGUCGAUCCCAUGUCCCAUCCUCUUCGGCUCAUGUUGCCGCUCAGGCUGAACCCGUUGAUGUUUUUAAUUUUUCGGAGCCCUUUGAUCCUAUUACUGAUAUUCUUAUUGGGAGUUCCCGUGUCUUUCUUCCACCUCGUUCGAAUUUUCCUUUAGCUGUUUCGCUUCAAGCUACCUUUCCUUCGACAUCUACUUCUGCUCCAGGGGUAGCUUCCUUGCCUGUUGACCCCAUGGUGACACUUAUGGGUCAGAUGUCUACUUUAGUCGCGCAACAGGCUCGUAUGAUGGCAGAGAUCACGCAGUUACGUGCUGCUUCUUAGUUUUAGUUUUAGUUUUUGAUCCUUUGUCAUUUGUGACAAAAGGGGGAGUAGAUAGUUUAAUCUCAAUUUAACUGUGAUAUAACUGUGGUUUGAUAUCUAUUUAAUGACUAGAUUAAGUUUUGAUGUUUUAGCAAUAUUGAUGUAUGUUUUUGUUGUUUUUUGAAUUACAUUACUAUUGUUUCUUAAUCUGGUUAAUUACAUAUGCACUAUUCUUUGUUUUAUCUACUGUUUCCAUUUCACGUGCUUUUACACUUGGUAUUCAGUUUCUAUAUUUCAGGAAACAGGUUCGACAGGAGAUAGUUGCUUUGGUUGAAUGAAUAGGUCGUUAGGAGUUACAUUUUUUUGUGUCCUUGACUAUCUUGUGUAAUUUUGUCACAGAAUGCCAAAGGGAGAUUUUGUUAGGAAAAUGUUGUAAUUGGCAAUCUGUGACCAAAAGGACUAAUUUGUCGAGUUUGUAAAGUCAAGGACCAAUUUGUCAAUGUCUAAAAGUUUAGGGACUUGUGUUGCAAUUUCUCAAUAAUUAAUGUAUAGGUCUAGGGUAAAGUUGGAUGCUUUGAAGAUGAAAAUGGCGUAAGAUUGGUGCUAGAGUUUCGCCCUGACCUCGCUCGAGCCUAAAUAACAGAACCUGCGUCGUUGGAGUUUCGCCACCAAUUCGCUCGAGCGAGAGUGAGUCGCUAGAAUUUCACCGGCACUUCGCUCGAGCGACAGUGCCAUCCGGCGUUUGGUAAUUUUUCUUCCUCGUGAAUUUUAAACGCUCCAUACUACCAAAAACGACCUACUAUAUAAACAAAAAUUUCACUUUUCAUUAACAACAUUUGACAAAACACAUAGCACAAUAUUUUCCUCUCUACCAAAUGAUCAAUUGCAAAACUCUUCACCAUAUGAUUCAUUGAAGAGAAAAAAAACAUCAAACACCUUUUCAAACAAAACACCUAUCAAAAAUCCUCACUACUUCCAGGAGAUCAGUUGAUUGAAGAUCCGGGAAGGAGGUUGAUUGAAGAACUGGAGUUCUUGUUGAUUCACGGGAAAUAAAAGAAAUACAAGGCUGGAAUUUUGGCCCAGAUCUGCAGAAUCCAUGAGAGCUUGGGUUGAUACAGUAAGGAGGUCAGAGUGUCGUUAGAUACAAUCGUGUCUGGCGUACUGUAAGUUGGAGUCUUCUAUAGUGAAUCCCUACUGGCUUGUGCCCGAAGUUUUUACCCUGUUGGAUUUUCUCCGUCAACAAUUUUUGUGUUAUUUAUUGCUUUUUGUCAAUUUCAAUUCAACCGGCAAUUCAACAUAGGUAGUUAAAUCAUGUGAAUGAAUCUGGACAACGUUUAAUUUAUGUGACUUGUUGCAUAACUUAAUUAAAUUGUUAAAUUUCGCAUAGACACCUAUUCACCCCCCCUCUAGGUGUUGGUUGGGUCGAACUAUAAUCUUUUCAAGUAUCAAUGCACCAUCUCCAUGGUGUCCUCCUCUUCUUGUUUCUUCAAUUAGUCCAGUUGCAACAUGUAUCCUAUGCUAGUUGGCACGCAGGCCCAAAUGAAAUUGGACUCGCAGGCCCAUAGCAACAAUAAUAAUAACGAACUCGCAGGUCCAAAAUGAUCAAGAGCUCGCAGGCCCAAAAUAAUAACAAUAAUAACGGGCUCACAUGCCCACAAAACAACAAGAAUAAAAAUCAAUGGACUGUAUUUGAAUCUGUUUAUAUUUGGUCGAGUCCAUAAUCAUUCACUAAUAAUACAUUUAUCACAUAAAUGUAUUCUUAUAUAAUAUCUAAUAUUACAUGCAAAUAUGUUUCAAGUUUCUAGCAAUUAAGAUUGUCUAAACUCUUUUAGACUAGUGGAUCAGAAUAAUUAAAUAAUUAAUUAAUCAUAUUAAUCAGUUAUUUAAUUAGCGGGCAUAUUUAAUUAAAAUCAAAUUUUAAUUAAACACCGAAUUAGAGUCCAACUCCAAUUCCACAAUUAUGGGGCGAAACUAUCUAAUUAAAAUCAAAUUUUAAUUAAUUACCAAAUUAGAGUCCAACUCUAUUUUCAAAACUUAAGGCGGUUGAAUUUAAUUAAAAUCAAAUUUUAAUUAAAUAGCAAAAUUAAAGUACAACUCUAAUUUCAAGAUUUAGAGCGAACUAAUUUAAUUAAAAUCAUAUUUUAAUUAAAUAUAAAAUUAAAGUCUAACUCUAAUUCCAAGAAAAAUUUUUAGGGCAACACACUUUAAUUAAAAUCAAAUUUUAAUUAAAUGUCAUAUUAGAAUCCAAUUCUAAUUUCAAAAAUAUAAUCGGGUGAAUAAUUAAUUAAAAUUAAAUUUUAAUUAAGUAUUAAUUUAGAGUCCAACUCUACUUUAAAUUGAAUUAAUAUUUUAAUUUAAGAUGAACCCCCUAAAUAAAAUAAAAUUUAAUUUAGGGUCAAAUUUAAUAUUUAAGUUAAAAUCAUAUUUUAACGAAAAUAUAAAAAGUCGUCAAUUUCUAAAUAAAAUUUUAAACGGGUCAAAAUUGAUAACAUAGGUCAAAACAUUUAAAAUUAAAUUAAAUACAGUUUAAUUCAAAACAUCUUUUGAAACUUUUGAAAUUGACCCAUUUAUAAAUUAUCAACAAAUCCCUCCAAAUACACAAAUUGCAAGGAAACCCUCCAUUUAAGAAAUUGCAAAGUGACUCUUAUUUUAUAAUUCUAGGCAGCACCCAGAAAUUGCGAAAAUUGCAGAGGAGGCCCCUGGUUUCUUUCACCCCAAAAUCGACUGUAAACCCUAAUUAAUUCACCCAAAAAAAAAUUUUAUUUACUUAAUCCUUGGUGUCGCUGAUCGGCGUUGCCAACACCAUUGCGAAAGUAGUCGCAGCCAUCACCAACAGCAACUGUUGUCGCCGGCAUCCCACCUUUAUAUAAUUUUUUUUCCUUCUUUCCGACCCAAAAUUAAUUUUUCUUUUCAAAACAAAUUUUGAAUGUGAUAACAAAUAUUCUUAAUUGCUAGAAGCUAGAACAUGCAUAACAAUCAACUUUUGAUUGCGCAAAGACAUUAAACAAUCUCUAACUUUUGAUUAUAAUAGACUUUUUUACUUUAAAAAAAAAAAAAAGUGAGUCUCAUCUGUAAAAAUAAAAAGUAAAAAAUGAAUGUCGAAAAAACGAAAUAAUGAUAAAAAAAAAAAUUAAUUUUUUGUGUACUCUAUUUUACGGGGGACAGCAUGCUCAUGUCACGUCCCCAAUUUUUACCCACGCGAAUAUGCAAGUGUAACUGGCCACCACUUUUGCCGGCGGGCGGCCAGUUUCCUUUGCCGUGAAACCCUCCGUACCGUAACACCACAACCAUUUAUUCCUGUUUCUUUCCUAUCUUCAAAUUCCAAACCUUAGCUAGAUAGAGAUUCCAUCAAAGCACAAAUUCCAUUCCCGUUACACUUCAAAACCCUACAUUACAAAAUGGACCCUCGCCGUGUGCCUCGCACCGUUAGUGACCCCAAGGUCCGGCAAGUCGGAUUCUUUGCCCCACCCGACCGCUCCCAAUCGGGUCAACCAGCUUCCACCUCCUCAUCUCCACCGGUUUCCCAAAUCUCCCCCUCUGGGAAUUCUCUGUCCCCUGUCAUGAUCCCGCCGCCGCGUAACCUUUCGUCGGAUAUGUCACGCCACUUCCAGCAGGAACCAAUUUCCCCUCCCCGUGGCGCCCGCGGAACACCAGACUCGUCCAUUCCUGUUGGUAGUUACAAUCCGUCAGAAUUCAUUUCGCCUACUGCGACGGAUGACUUCUCGCCUGGGCGAAGCCGGAAGGGAAAUUCGGCGAAGUUUGCCAGUUCUCUACCUACUGGAGGAAUUGGUAGGGUGAAGCAGAAUAAUGUUCCGGCUAGUGGUUUGGCUACGGUUUCGACUGUUACAAUGCCUAAAGCUGUUACCGGUUAGUUUUAUUUUCUUCCCUUUUGAUGUAAUUUUAUUUUGAGGUUUUGUUCAUGUAAAUGCUUUGUUUCAGAAAAAGAAAGAUUGGCAAUGGGGGAAGUGCAGAUGGAGCAACAGGCAGGGGGUUCAAAGCCAUUGAAGGAGAAGAUGACAAAAGCUGAGCGGCGGUUUCUUCAAGAGGCUCAACGAGCUGCAAAAGCUGCUGCUAAAUGUGAAUACCUUUUUUUUGCUUGCUUUUCCAUUUUUGAAAUUUAUACAAGUGUUAAUUUGUGUUUAUUUUGGGACUUGAUUUGAGAUGGAUUCUAGCUUAUAGUUAGUUGCCCUGAGUCACCAGCCUUAAUUCUGUCGUAGCCCUUUUUUUUUGUUUUUAGUGUGCUAGUUUACAUUUUGAAGGCCAUAAUGUUUAUAUGGCAUUCACAAUUAAUAGUCAUGCGGAUACGACAAAUGUUGACUUGGAAAAAGGUCGAGCUCUUUUAAUAACAUUUGAUGGAAAAGGAGUGAUUUAUAGUACUAUAGUAGAUUUUUACAUUUUAGAUUUAAUUCAUCGUCACUCAAGGGUAUUCUAUUUGCUAAUUUCUAGUGAAGAGCUUGUCAUUCUUGGAAUCUAUGUUUUCCAUCAUAGUUCUGCAAGGAUCUAAGUGAUAUAAAGUAAAUCUGAAUAUUAUUUGAGUAAUCAUUGUCCACCUGAAAUGUAACUUGGACGAUUCUCUCACACUUUGUGCCGCUGGCUAUCAAGCCAUUAAUUUGUUGCAGAUCCUCGUGGGUUAAGUGAAUUUUAGUGUUCCUUUAACUAGUUAUUAAAUAUACCCUUUCCUAGAUUCCUCUUUGUGCCUAACGAUAUUAUUAGUACAUUAAAGUGGGAAAAAAAUGAUGCUGUUUAGUGAACCUCUAAAUGGUUUCUGUUCAUGAAUCCUUCUGAUAAUCGAGCAGCUAAUGAUCGGGUUUAAUAUUGCUCAUCUAUCAGGUCUAGGAGUCAUUUCUUUCAGAAGAUCAAGUGAUAGGGUAAUAAUAGGUCGUCGUAUAGCAAAUUGCUUCAUAGUUUUUUCAGAUAAUUGUUGCUGGAAAAUUUCUUUCUUUUUUUGGUAGCAAUUAUAUAGAUCAAUUUGACCACUUUUAUGGGUUAUAAAUUUUUUUUGACUCUCCGUACAUUUGUAAAACAUUGUUCUGCUUCUCAUCUGCCAUAUCUGUAUUCUCUAACCCUGCAAGUCUUUUAUGUUCUUCAAACAAUGAUUUGAAGGAAAACUCCAAGUCACUUGCAUUGCUUAGAUAAAAUUAUAAAACUUGUGAUUCGCUUUGGAAUUCAGGGAUUUUAGAUGCAAAGUCAUCCAUCUUUCUUUCUUGUUAUGUGAUACAGAGUUACAAAAUGUUAGCUCAAGGCUUCUAUUCCUACUUGGUCCUCAGCCUCAGGCACCUUAUGUGCAAAAAAAAUUUAUUGUCAAUCUUCUUUUUCUUGUUUUAUUUUUCAUAGCUAAUAUUAAAAUGAUAUGUCAAGGCAUCUAUUGCAAUGUAUAGGUGAGUUUUCAUUUUCUUAGAAUUGCUUAUUUGUCCACAAAUUGUGAAAUGUACUUUAUAGUUGGUUUCUCUCCUGAAUGUUGCAUUUAUCCAGCUGAAGGAAGUAAGACACAGGCUGCUGCUUCUGGGGUCAAUGCAGUAAAUGCCAAUCCAGGAAAGGUUCCAAAGGUGAGUUCGUCGAAGAAAGACAGCUCUUCUGUUGCAGCUUCUGAGAAAAGAGGUGGCGAUCGCCAACCAGAUAAAGAUAGGAAGAAAGAUGUCCCUCAUCCACGGAUGCAGUUUGACGACGAAAACCGAGUUGAGAAGGCAAAAAAGCGAUCUGUCAUGAAACAAACUGAAGCCAGGAGCAGAGUUGAACUAUUUAGGCAUCUACCCCAGUAUGAACAUGGAACAAGGCUUCCUGACCUUGAGUCGAGGUUCUUCCAACUUGAUCCCAUUCAUCCUGCUGUUUACAAGGUAGCUCCUGGUAGACUAUUUUUCUUCUUUUUUGAUAUCAUAUCUUAAUGUAGGCUCCGUAAAACAUAAAGGAGUAAGAAUCAUCAAUAUUAGACCUUUUCUUGUGACAAAUUUUAUCGUACUCAUGCUGUAUUGGUUUGUUUGGGGAUUAAACCUUUUUUUUAUGUUUCAUGGGGUUGAAAGCUUCUUCUUCUCUUACAAAAAACCUAAAAAAUAAACAAAAUUAGUAUGACUUUCAUGUGAUUUAUCCUUAUUGUGAAUGCAUAUUUGUUGUCAGGUUGGGGUAAGAUAUCUAGCUGGGGAUAUCUCUGGUGGCAAUGCCCGCUGUGUUGCUAUGCUUCAAGCAUUCCAAGAGUCAAUUAGAGACUACUCAACACCACCAGAGAAGUCCCUUAUCAGGGACUUGACCACAAAAAUAAAUGGUUAUGUCUCAUUUCUGAUUGAAUGCAGACCCCUUUCGAUCAGCAUGGGGAAUGCAAUUAAGUUUCUUAAAACUCGGAUUAACAAGUUAGCUUUAAAUCUAUCUGAAUCAGAGGCAAAAGCCAGUAUUCUCUCAGAUAUUGAUCGUUUUAUAAAUGAGAAGAUAAUUCUAGCAGGUAAGGUAAUUGUGAAGCAUGCUGUCACAAAAAUUAGGGAUGGUGAUGUUCUUCUAACUUACGGAUCAUUAUCUGCUGUGGAAAUGAUAUUAUUGCAUGCCCACGAGCUUGGCAAACAAUUUCGAGUUGUGAUAGUGGAUUCACGCCCAAAGCUUGAAGGACAGGCAUUGCUUCGUAGGUUGGUGAGGCAGGGUAUAAGUUGUACAUACACUCAUAUAAAUGCCGUUUCUUUUGUCAUGCAUGAAGUGACUAGAGUAUUGUUGGGUGCUUCAUCGGUGCUAUCGAAUGGCACCGUUUACUCAAGAGUUGGAACUGCAAGUAUUGCUAUGGUUGCUCAUCAGUUCCAUGUUCCUGUCUUGAUUUGUUGUGAAGCAUACAAGUUUCACGAGAGGGUUCAACUUGAUUCAAUCUGCUCUAAUGAACUUGGUAUGAAUUUCGAGUUAGAUUCUUCAAUUUUCUGCAUUAACAAUUGCAACAUAGUAAUUUAUGAAGGUUGCAAUGUGCAGGUGACCCUGAUGCUAUUGCAAGGGUUUCUGGGAGAACUGAGAUAAAUUAUUUGGAUGGUUGGACCAAUAGUGAGAAUCUCCAACUCUUGAACUUGAUGUAAGUGUGAUUCUGUUAUUGACACGUGAUAUUUAGAUAAAACCACUGAUUCUGUCUUACUCCUGCUCACUUUCUUGAAAUUUCAUGGUGCCAGUUAUGAUGCAACUCCUUCAGAUUAUGUUUCUAUGAUCAUCACAGACUAUGGCAUGGUAAGUUGGAUUUAGUUUAUUCACUGAUAAGUUUACCUUGGGUUUACUGUUGUGCGCGUGUUAAAAGUUCUCAAGUAAAUAAUGAUAGUGAUAACAUGACAAUUUUGUGCAUUUUUGGCUAGUAAGUUUGAAAGUUAGUUUUUAGCAACUUUUUUGCAAACACAUUUGAGCUUUUUAAGAAGCUUCUGUUUUUGGGAGAAAAGUCUAAUUUCCAAAAGUCAUUGCUGCCCUCUUGUCGUAUUGGUGUCAUUUGGCCAUGACGAUUGUUGGAUAAAUAAUGAGAGUGCCAGUGUCUGUUGGAAUGGGUGGAUUGUGUUGCUGCCCAGACUUUCAAAUGCAGCUUAUCUUUCUCUUUCAUUUUUGGUUGCGUGUGAAUAUCUUUCUAUCUGAAUUUGGUAGUAGCUCAUAUCACUAUUUCCAUUGAAUGUUCGUUCACCACGUUUUCUGUGAUGUGUCUAGAUCCCACCAACAAGUGUUCCAGUUAUCGUUCGAGAAUACCAGAGAGAGCAUUUAUGGAUAUAGAGAUAUAAUGCAAAAGUCGUGCUAAAUUCUGGCUUCGAGAGACGAGGAAGCAAAUUUUGUGGUCCCUGCAGGAACAUAACAUUAUUUAAUUUUCAUCUGUUCUUCUUUGGGAAUAAGGUUUUGUGUCUCAACAAUGUACUUUCUCUUUUGGCUCACAAAUUUUCACCUGAAUCUGAAGAGUGCGACUAUUCUGCCUCUCGGAGCAGUUUUCAAGAUGUAUUUUGGGUUGUGGGUAGCUAUUUUAACCCUCUUGUGGCAAUGGUUCUGUCAUCUUCCAUGGACAACUGUGUGUGUUUUUUGAGGGGAAGUUUUGAAUCGUUUGUAUUUGUGAAAUUUGAGGAAACAUAAUAAAUAUUGAGGCAAAUAUAGAGUUGAUAAACUUGACAUGUAGUAGGGCUAGGGCCUAUGAGAAAAUUAAUUCUUAUAAAGAUUUCAACCACUCUUUAUUGCCAUUGUAGACUUGGAAUUCGAUUGCAUAUAAGGAAAGAGUAUAUAUUUAUUCGAUCAUUGCGUCAUUAGAAAUUUGUUAACUAAUUGAACUUAGCGCUUGUACAAUAAAAAAGAGUAAUAUUAGUUAGUAUUAUUGGUGUUAUAACUCCAAUCUAAGGGGUACCUAAGUGACAUUAAAUGAUAGACACAAUUAAAUAAUCAAAUAAUUUUACAUUUAAUUGAGCCUAUCACAUUAUGAUACUUAAUUGCGUCUAUUAUUCACUGUGUCCAAAUAUUGAAUUUUAUAGUUUUAUAGUAAAAUAUCAAUCAACAAAUUCCUCACAUCUAAUUGUGAAUUUUUCCUCCUAAACUCUGUGCUCUGAUGCUCGAACACGAGCAAGAAGAGAAAUGGCUGUUUGAGAGGAAGCUACUAAAUUUUGCAUUUCUUACAAUGCUUAUUUAUAGAUUUUCAAUGGACUCUCAAUCUUAAAUAAUACAUUUAUGUUAACGUUAUUGAUUAGUUAGCUAGUAAUUGAAUCUAUUAGCCUUUUAUGUUUUAUUCAUCGGUCCGCGUGCUCUCAUUGUUCAUGCUUGAGGUUCUUGCUGAUGGUGGCAUUGGUUGGCACCGAGUUUUCAGCAGACAGUCCCAUUAUAGUAUCUUCUCUCUCUCUUUUUUGGGCAUAUUUUUCACUUAGAUAUUCAACCGUUGACUGUGAGCUUCAUAUCAAGCUGUGAAGCACCAAAACAUGUUCUUUCCUUUUUCUUUUUUUUCUGUCAUUGCUUUUAUUCUCCUGGUUGGCUUAACCAUUUUUUUUUUUUUGGUGGGCAGUUCGAGAAUGCUGGGGAUGAUCGUUAUCAAAUAAAAUACACAGCCAAUUCGUCGUCCCAUAGAAAAGGUUGAGUGAAGAGGUGAACAGUACAGUGUUUAGGAGCUCCAAACUGAAAGUGGCGAGGAAGAGGACGACGGCGAUGAUAAAUGACGAUAAGGUCGACCAUCCUGGGGAAGCUUCCAUUGGCAGAAGCUUUGUAAUGAGAUGCUGAGUCGUGCUAUCUUCAAUGUAAGUCUUGGAGCAUAUGCUGGUUAGUAGUAAUCACGAUUUCUUGUGCUCUUAGGUGUGUGAAUUAGUUUGGAAGUAUCAUUGUACAACUAAAGUCAGAUUAAAGCUUCAUGAAUGGCAUUUAGCCCUCCUUUGUCUCGUGUUCAUCCAUAAGUUGGAGGCUAGUGUUUUACUAUUUGAGCGAAUGAAUAAGAAGGAUGUACGAAAAUGAGCAUAAUUUCAGCUCGAUUGUUGAAUUUUCGUUCUUGAGUACAAUUUGAAAACCUUUUUUUUUUUUUUUUUUUAAUUCUGUACAUUUUUGUCUGAUAAGCGUUUUUCUGUUUUUAGUUAAUUUAAGGAUAUUUUUAUCUUUUGAAGUUUUAGUUUUAUUUGGAUUUAGCUAAUUAUAUUCAUACCAUAAUUUUUAUUUCUUGCACCACUUUUUAAUUACAUUUAAUGUUCUUAAUAUUUGGUCAUUAUAACACUUAUGCCCCCUAACAGUUUUUCAUGCCAUUUUUAUCCUCAAAUUUUUCAUUAGUUAACACAUUUUGUAUUGAAUAACAACUUUAUGUCCAAAAGUUCAUUAAAAUUAUGUAAAACGAUUUUUUUUUGGUCAUAUUUUUAAAAACGAAUAAAUAAAAAGUGUGAAAAAAAAAAUAUUUUCCCUCAAUUCAAAGCAUAAAAAUAAAGUAUUUCGAUAUAAAUCAUUAUCAAUGAUAAGGCGUACUAGUUAUUAGAAAAAUGAAGAUAAGAAUUCAAGAGUUGAGAAAAUAAUUGCUACAAUAAACAAAGAUUGAAGACCUUAAUUGCAAUUAAAAUAUGAUGUAUCAAAUAAAAAUUGUGGUGACAAUAUAACCACUAUUUGGAUUUAUCUAUAGAAUUAGAUUUUCAAUAUGAUUAGAAUUUGUUUUAAGUCUAUAAAUACAUGUUAAGAUUAUAAAAACAUCACAUUCGUUUUUCUUGCUUAAUAAGAUAUUUUAGAUUUCCAAUAUUUCUGGCGUCCGUCCGAGCAAAAUGCACGUUCAUAUAUUACUAACAAGAAUCUUUUGUGUAGUAUUCUUGGACAAUGCAUCUAUUGACACUGGGAUUGGUUUCUUCAUGUUUUAUAAGUAGAAGUUGUGCAUUUUCUACCAUCCAUGAAAUAGUUCUCAAUUUUUGAAGUUUUCUUUCCCCGGUUUUAAUCUCAUGAAAUUUGGGAAUUCAAUGAAAAAUCUAUAAAAAAAAAUUUAACGGUCCUCGUGUUUUCUCCUCCCUUCCCCGUGUGUCCCUAUAUUACCUCCUGCAUCUUCAUAUCCAUACCUCCAAUUGCGUGUGGGAGAAUGUCUGGCUUCUUCCCAAGCACUGAGGGAGGGUGCCGAUGCAGUACCAAAGUUGAUUGGAAAGUGAAAUGGUUGCCCGACCGAGUGAGAAGAGGGAAACUACAAACGGAUUAAAUACCACACAUAACUAGGGUUAUCAAUGGGAGCUGGCCAUGCCCGAAGUCAUUACCUUAACUACAAGGAGGGGGAUACCGGAGGCAGUAAUGCUAUCUAUCUCGAAAAAUGUGGUCUAAUGCGUGAUUUGAAAAAGCCUCUUGUGCCUGUAGAAAAAGCGAUAACUUAUUUUAAAUUUUUUUAUUUUUUUGGUCACGUGGGCAGUUCGAGAAUGCUGGGGACGAUCGUCAUCAGGUAAAACACACAGCAAAUUCGUCUUCAGAUGAAAUGGUUAUGAGUGGAGGUGAACAGGAGAGCAGGAGCCGGGCACUACAUGAUGAAGAGCUCCAAACUAAAAGCGGCGAGGAAGACGAUGAUGAUGACGAUGACGAUGAUAAAUGACAAUAAGGUCGACCAUCCUGGGGAAGCUUCCAUUGGUAAGAAACUUUGGACUUUCCUCACCAUGUAAUGAGAUGCUAAGUCGUGCAAUCUUAUAUAUAAGUCUGGAGCUUAUGCUAGUUAGUAAUCAUGAUUUCUUGUGCUCUCAAUAUGGUAUCAAAGCUGAAUUUGGUUUCAUAAUCUGUGGGAUUGCCUGAGUUUCCUUAGCUGGUUUUGAUUCCAUAAUCAAUGGAAUUGCAUGGCUUUUACUUAGAUGUGUGAAUUAGUUUGGAAUUAUCAAUGUACAACUAAAAGUCAGAUUAAAGUUUCAUGAAUGGCAUUUAGCCCUCUUUUGUCUUGUAUUCAUAUCCAUAAGUUGACACUGGGAUUGGUUUCUUCAUGUUUUAUGAGGAGAAGUUGCGCAUUUUCUACCAUUCUUGAAAUGGUUCUCAAAUUUUAAAUUAUCUUUCCUGGUUUUGAUCUCAGAAAAAUUGGGAAUUCAGUGGAAAAUAUAUAUAAAUUAUUUUUUAACAGUCCUCGUGUUAUCUCCUCCCUUCUCCGUGUGUCCCUAUAUUACCUCCUGCAUCUUCAUAUCCAUACCCCCAAUUGCGUGUGAAAGGCUUCUUCCGAAGCACAAGAGAAUGGUGCCGAUACAGUACCAAAGUUGAUUCGAAAGUGAAAUGGUUGCCUGGUUGAGUGAGAAGAGGGAAACUACAAACGGAUUAAGUUCCCACACAUAAUGUGGGAAGGGCGCGGUGGAGUCUAGAAGCCCUUCCCUCUAAAACACAAGUUCUAUUUUAAAACUCAACGGAACCAUCCACCACUUUAAAUUCAUCCUUAUCUUGAGCAACCAUUGUGACACUCAACACCACUACCGCUUUCUCAACGGCAACUUUUCACCAAUAGCUCGCUAAACUACCCGCCCUAACUAAUAGAUAUGCCAGCAAUCAAAGUCCAUUGCCACCAAUAAGCUCAAGAACAAGUACAUAUCAAUAAAAAAAAAAACACGAAAGAUGGAGAUCUCAUACUAACCCUUGUCUUGUUGACCUCAAAAAGAUAAUCAUCAAAUUUUCUUUAUCUAGCCAGAUUUUUUCCUUCUAAACUAGCUAUUCUGUUGCUCGAUCGUAAGUAAGAGGAAAAAUAGCUAUGUAAGAUGAUGCUAUUUCAAAUUCAACAUUCCAUUCUAAACUUCCAGCACGCCUAUCUAUAGAUUUUUAUUUAGAAUUUGAGGGUAAACAAGCCUUUAGAGCCGGUCACAUGUGGCAAUCAUUGAUUGAUUAAUUUAUAAUUGAUUAUGUUAUCAGUUCAUGAUUUGCUAGCCUGCUUACAUGUCAAGUCAUGUUUCUUACUUCUAUUCACUCGUGUGCUUGGAUAAUGAUUUUUGCUAAUAUAAAAUUAGUUACCAGUUCGUCAUUUACAGUUCCUACAAAUAUUCUUUUUUGUCUUAAGCUUCACUUAUAUUUUAAUAUAUUCAAAAAGAUUCACGGUAAUACGGGUUCGCCAAUAUUCGUUUGUGAGUUUUUAUUAUUCGACAUGUCUCACGUACAAAAACACUCCCCCUCAAAUUAUAACAUUAGACUCUACACAAUCCACAUCAAGGAACGGAAUUCUAUCACAUAUUCCUUCACUGUGCCAGUAUGCUUCCCACAAGUCGAAUCUCUCUCGAUAAAAGGUCUUCAUAUACAUCUGGUACAUGAUAUAGUAAUUCAAUUUAUCAAAUGGGAUGCACCAGCAAUAGACGGACACAGAAGGUGGUGCUCAUUCUUGCCUAACAUGCUACGAAUCCAAAUUUUCACAGUUUUAGCUUCCUAGGAGAGUUGAGUAAAUACAACCAACUACGAUUAACCUAUCUUCCUCUUCACAAGAUUUCUAGAGAGGUGUGAAUCAAAGAAAAACAAGGAGUCGCUAGAACCGAGUGACCAGAUUUUCAUGACCAAAGAUAUAUACCAAGUCUCCAAAUCAUCUACUUGCAAUGAUAAAAAAGUCUAAAUCACAAUGUUGCAGACUAAUCACAUUUUAUGAAGCUUUUUAACCUUACAUUUGAUCCCAGAAUCAUCCACAAAUUCAACGUUUGGUCAUCAACUGAAAAGUCGAUAUCAUAUGCGAGUUUAAUAAUUUGAUCAAGAAACAAUAAUAAACCUAUCUUUUGUACUAACCUUUUCAAUAUAAUGAGAAAUGUAUUUGGGAAGCAGAUUCAACAGGCCUGUUAGUUCCAAUAAAUAUGUUUCCUGUACCAUAUAAUACUGCAUAAAGUGCACAUUUUUACAAGCAUUUAUGAUUUUCGAAUUCAAUUUGUAGCAGACAAAGUGAUAAUUGUUCUAAAACAAAUCAUUCCAACAUAAGAAAUCGGACAAACAUUAAAUGCAAUGAGGAACAAAUGCUUGAGAUACCCGAUACAUAGUGAUAUUUCUGAUCUGUGAAGCCGGUUUCAUAUUUGUCCCUUUUAUUCACUCUAUUUAACACAAAUUCAGUGAGAAUAGUGACGAAACCAACAAAGUUCCACUCGUCUCUCUUUUUCAUCAUCUCGACUAUAAAUCCACCACAAAAGAUUUGUGAGGGAGUUCCCAUCAUCAUAUCCAUUCAAGUUCCUGAUUUUAUCUAAAGCACCUUCUUUAUCGUAAAUCCCUUGCAAUGCAUAUACGAAACCCUUCCAACCUUCUCCAACUCCUUGCCGGGCCAGGGCUGGCAAGGUCCACGAUAAUAGCUGUCUCACAAAAUGUACAUCAGAGAAUAGAAUUUCACUUAUGGGCAGUAUAGGCAGAAGUUGAAUUCCCAGCCUACACUCCCUCCAGUCGGCCGGAGCAAACCAAAGACCACUGUCCCUUUUGUUAGCCCAUAAAACACCCACCAUCCUGUUCUCUUUGGUAAAUUCCUCUCCAUAAACAUUGUCCUCCUCUCUCACAUGCCACCAAGUUUGUGCUGCUCGAAUUUCCAAAGCAGAUAAAGCAGAUCCAAUAGAAACAAGGUGGCUGUCCCCAUAUGCCAGUCCCAUAAGAGCCGCUGAAUAAUAUCCAUUAACGGCCUCACUCGUGCUCUCCUGAUUUCGACCAUCUGCAAACUCCGUAAGCCCUCCUGCCCAAGAAUGCAAUUUCCACAAGUCAAAACACCUCAAACGGGGAUAAUUUGAGUUCACUCGCCUGCUCAAGUUCAUAAAGUCUGCCAUAAGAGAAUAAGCUUGUGGCUUGUACUUCCUUCCCCACGCAGCAUCGAUCUUGGCAAGAACAGCAAUCCCAUAGAUGAAAUAUCCAAGGUGAUAGUGGUGAUCAUUAUAGAUUCCAAAUCCAAAAUCAGCUCCCGAAUCCGCUGAUCCUAGUUUAGUCACGAUUCCACCCCAUUUUGGGUCGUACAAGAAACCAUUAGCAUCAAAAGUUCCAUCCAACCAGGGCUCAAUCAUAUCUUUCAAGAACUUCCUAAUUGCAGGGAUCACUUCAAUAUAACACACCUCUUCUGCAAUCAAUGCAAACCGCGCAGCUCUGGCGAUCAGUUUCCCAUAAUAGUACGAUGAUGUUGUUGAUACUGCAUUUGAAUUCAAGGCCUCAACAUCCUUAAUGAGUGCUUCAAUUAUCUCAGAAUUUGAUUCCUCAUUAAUCCCUCUAAUUGAAUGCCAAGUAACAGCAAUAGGGUCACUUUUCAAAACCCAAGAAUCUCCAACAACACCAACCAGCUCACCAUCAAUACUAUUGUACUUGAAAUCCUCCAAGAUGGUAACCGAACUGUCAGUACUCGAAAAGAGCUGAAGAUGUAAAGGAUGGGCAAGCAUUAAUAAAUCCCCCCACCCUCUCUUAUCCCAUUUAUACUCCAAACUAAAAGGGUUAGUGAAAACAGCAUCACCACUAAUUGGAUAACAAGAACUAAAACGAUCAAGAACCGAGUCGAAUUUUGGAUCGGACAAUACAGCAAUUCUAAUUAUCCCCGAAAACACACUAGAAGUAAUAGUAGAAACAUCAUGACUCAAAUAUAUCGGAGAAGAAGCAUAAAGAAGCCAAGUCUGAUUGUUAUUAAGCUUAAUAGUGUACUUUGUGGAAGAACCAUUUGGGGACAAUUCAAGAAUGGCAUGAAUAGUUGAAACUGACAGCGCAACACGACUCAAUACAUUACAAGUCAAGAAGGGGCUCCCCCUAACAAGAAAGAACCUAAGAUUACUAGAUGGAAGAUCCAAAGUCACACUCAAAUCAUUGAAUGCAGAUAUGAUGUGGGUUGCAUUCGAAUUAGGAUUGUUCAGUACGGAAAUGGUGAGAUCAGCAAUAAAUAUCUCGUAUAAGAAAGCAGGACUCUUGAACUGAGAUGGGUAACAAAGGGUAAGAGAAGAUUGAGAUGAUUUGAUUAAAUAUGGGUGUAUAUAUUCAGGCUGAUCACCAUUUUUCAACACGAAAUUCUGAAAAAAUGAAUUCGUGGGUAAAGGAUUGGAGAGGAGGUGGGGUGAGAAGAAUGAUGAAGGAUCAGGCAGGACUGGAGACUGAAUUUCCGGGAAGAGAAAAGGAUGGGAGGACAGUUUUAGUGGUGGCGUUGACAUGGUGUCGACUGGGGAUUCCGGUGGAUAGGGGGAAGAGGGCAUCAGCGUCGGAGUUGGGGUCGGAGUCGGAGUCGGCGAUAUCGUCGGCGUCGACGGUGGUGGCCUUUUACGCGGCCGUUUCCUGAAAGGCUUUGUGAUCAAGGUUGUGAGUCUUCGAACGAUUUUCUUCGCCAUGAAUUUAUAUGGGGAUUUAUGGGCCAAAAUAGAAAUCGCAGAAGGUUUUGUGGACCAAUAUUGCAAUUAGGUCACUUCGUACCUGUCAAAAAAAUGAAAAUUAGUUUAAAAAAAUCAGAUUUAUUAGAAUAAAAAUAAAAAUAAAAAUAAAAUAAAAAAGUCUCAUCGCGUCACAAGAAGCCAAAUUUUUUUUUUCUUCCUUUCAUUUCCCCCACAUUUUGUGUUUAUAACGUAAAAAUAAAUUUAUUUGAAAAGUUAAUCCUAUUUCUAAACACGAAUUAUUUCUCAAAAAGAAUAAGCCUCUCAACAAGUUCACUUGGAGAUUUUAUCUUGUACGACUGUGGCAACCCUCUAAGUCACAGAGUAUUUUUUUUUUAAUAAAAAUUAAAGGGGUGUUUGUUUUCCAUUUUUGUAAAAAUGAGAAUGAAAAAUAUAAUCGUUAUGAACCCCACACGAGAUAUAGAAAUUCAAAUUUGGUAUCUUCAUGUGAUGAAUAACGAUCAUAUUUUUUAUUUUAAUGGAGGAAAGAACAGGAAACAAAUAGAAGCAAUUGAUUACAAAAUUAACAUUAUAUCAAGUGAAGUUGACAUUCUAGAAUUGCUAAUAAAAAUAAAAAUUCAAUAUAAACGAUAAUGAAAACACGUAUUGUAGUACUUACAUAGUCAAAUGUGCAAUUAGUUUGUGCAAGGUGGCUGGAGUCUUGAUUGGCUUGCUGAAUGUGCUGGCAAUAUGGCCUUAUCCAAGAAGAAGAUAACCGUUCUAAGGAAGAGGAAACUUCGAAACUUUGUGAGAGAGAGAAAGAGAGCUAAGCUUUCCAACAUAAAUAUGAAGAAAAAUUGGUGGGGUAGGACAAGAAAGAAGGGAUGGAUUGGAAGGAAAGUUAGUAUCUGUUCCUUGGGGUGACCAGAUUAUGAUGAAUUCCCUAAAGAGAGGCUUCUAGUUUGGAAGAUGAAGAAAGGGAUAAUAAAAAUGUUUUUAAGUCAUUACCAUGUUUUGAUGAAGCAAAGAAUGAGAGAAAUUCAUGUCUAUGUAAUAUGUAGGGCCGAUUUGGCAUGUCUUUUCAAAAGUUAGAAAGCAUUUUUCAUAUCCAAAAAUUCAUGUUUAUGUAAUAUGAGAGAAAUUCAUGUUUAUGUAAUAUGUAUGGCCAAUUUGGCAUGUCUUUUGAAAAGUCAGAAAACAUUUUUCAGAUCUAAAAAUUUUUGGACCUGUUGAACUAAUUUUAUAAAAGUAUUUCUUCUAGUUAGAAGAACUUUUAAAGGAAAUUGACUCAAACUUCCUCUAAAAAUAUUUUCAAAAUAAAAAACUCUUAAAAAUUAAGGUAACUUCCUCCAAAGGUACUUCUAUAACAAGCAAAGAUAAAAACCAUGCCAAAUAGGCCUAUAACAUUCCAACUCUUUGGUGACUCAUAUUUGAUUUCAGCGGAAUAGUAUUGAGCAGUUUCGAAGAACAUAAGUUAAAUUUUGCGUACACAGAAUUUUUCAGAAAAUAUAAAUAGUUGUAGGCUGAACAUGAACACCACCACAAUUUGUUGGGUACUAGGCUCUUCCAACAAAGCAUGACUGCAUUCUGCUUCUGUGUUCGACUUGCAUAAUAAGUUGAAAACUACAUUGGUUAUGCUUUCAUAUCAGAACUUCACUACAGACGUCUGCUUAUGAAAGAGAAACAUAACACUACAGACGUCUCCUUAUGAAAGAGAAACAUAACACGAGGGAGAUGUAUCGUGCCGGAUGACGAAUGACAAGUAAAAUGCGAGCUCAAUUACACAAGGCAUCCACGAAGAAAUUUCGGACAACACUGAAAUUGAGAUGGUUCUGAACUCAUCUAUGAACAGGGUUCCCACCUCGUGCAGGUGCCUCGUAUCCACCACUGGGGCGAGUAGGCGGUGGUGGUCCUGACACAUGAUGUGUAUUUUCAAUCGGUACCUGUCCUUGGGACCCAACAGCGCCUUGAGACGAUGGAUCAUAGCCAGCAGCUUUCUGCAGAUCAUAAUUAGAUCCCCUUUGGACGUCAUUUCCGGAAUCUCUUCGAAAAUCACGAGUAGGUGGAGGUCUUUGAUCAUCAUAACCAGGUGCUUUAUCAGCAUCAUAACCUGGUCCCUUCUGCGUGUCUUGCUUAGGUGCUCUCUGCAUUUCAUAAGCUGGGGCACCAAUGAGUCCUCUCUGUGAAUGGUAACCCGGUACACUUGGUCCUCUCUGUGGCUGGUAACCGGGUGCAGUUGGUCCUCUCUGUGGCUGGUAACCGGGUGCAGUUGGUCCUCUGUGUGCAUCGUAGCCGGGCCCAGUUGGAACUCUCUCUGCAUCGAAGCCAGGUCCAGUAGAUCCUCUCUGUGCAUCGUAGCCAGGUCCAGUAGGCCCUCUUUGCACGUCAUAACCAGUCCUUUUUGAUGCAUCAUAAGCAGCCCCCAAACCACCAGAUGCAGAUUGAGCUACAAAAUGAGGAGAAGUACCCCCAGCGCCAGAAUCAUGUGCUCCACUCCCAGUGCCAGCAGCUCCAGCACCACUAGCCCCUCCUAAAAGUGACGUUUGGCCCUGCUGUGUAGAGAAAACAAAAUUAGGCUUCACCAGGCACAUUCCUAGAGAAGUGACACAAAAUUUCACUUCUUGAAACUCAAGGCUUGGAAGUCAAAUCAACCAUGACAAUGUGAAAUUCUUUUCUGAUGUUAUGAAACUAAUUUUAGAUGUUCUGAAUCAGUAAAUGAUUUCAUUAAAUUCAUGAAAAGAAAAGUGCAUCCUGCAGCAUCAAAAAGAUUCCAAGUGGUAUAUGUACUCUACAUGAUUUGAACGCAAGUGUAGUACUCAAAAAAGUCUGAAUGCACUAGCAGUGUGAUAACAUUAUUUUUUAGAAUCCUUAGAUAUCAGAAUGCUGAGACCAAACCAGUUCGUCGAAUUAAACUAAAACAAACCAGAGUAUUUCUCUCUGUGUCCAGAGUGACAGCCAUGGCAAUGCCAUUUUCAUGUUAUCUACAGCACCCGUUAAAAUCACUGCAGUUGGCAGAUACUGAAAUGGGAACAGGAGCGCAAUUUGACCUAUUGAAGAAUUGCUUAUCAUAAGAAACAACAAAAUAUAAGUCCUGCAGUUUUGAAUUUGAAUCUAAUUAUAAGAAACCAACUCGAAAUGUUUGAACUUUGCUUCGUGUAGGUCAUCAAUUUCACCUCAAUACAUUUUCUCCCAAUGAUUAAGAUUGGGGAAGUGAUCAGGAAGAUAUAAUUUGAUGCUUCGUGAACAUAUUUUAUCCUGCCCAAAAUGCAAAGGAUGUGUGUGUGUGUCGUGCGGCCUGCAGGAUUCAAAUUCAUAAUAUUUUGGAGUUCAACCUGGAAAUAUUUGAACCAAAUCUCUAAAAUUUUCUUUGAUGAUAUCGCAAUCAACUAAUUCACAUUAGC
rnacentral:lncRNA from 1 species